UUAUAUGUCAGAGAAAGAGUUUUGGGUUUGAUUUUGAUUUUGAUUUGUAAUUUUUGUCAGUUUAUUGAAAUUUUUUUGUUGUAUAAAAGCAGAAUGUAAAGGUAUAAAAAUUCAUUGAUGCUGCAAUGUCUGUGCUUUUGAGAAAGAAGAAUUCAAUGUCUUUUCUAUGCCAUUGGAUUUUCCCACUGCUUGUAAACUUGGGCUGUCGAGUGCUCUGUGAACCUUAAGGGCUAUAAAGUAAUUUUUUAGACUGAAGGAUUUAUUAAUCGAGUUCAAAAGAUUGCAAGUUGGUGAGCGUUGGCAUUUAAAAAUCAAUUGUUAUUCUCUCAAUAAUCUCUCUCUUCUGCCGACACCCCAAGCUCAGAAACCCAUUGUUCCGACGGACGUGUAACACUUCCAGAAAUUAGCCUUUUCUUCUAUAUGAAGGUUGAUCUCUCCUCGUGAAGUGAAGGUGGUUUUCCAAUUACAUACGUCGGGGGUCUUAUGAUAUCUAAUGUGUGAAAUUUCUUUCUCAUUUUACCAUAAAGAAAAGUUCUGUAAUGAUCUAAAGUUGGGAGUCUUAAAUUAUCUUAAAUUUAUAUUUAGAGUGGAGUUAUUGGCACCCUACAUUAUUCUUACAAAAUUCUAUUUUAAAUAAAAUUAUAAUUAAAGACAAUUGAAAAUUAUAGAUUUUUUUACAGCAAAUUACUUAAGUCAUAAUUAAUCCUUAAAAAAAAAUCUAUAUGUUACUUCUUAUUUAAUUAAAAUAAAUUGUACAAAUUUAAAAUAAUUUAUUGUUUUCUUUUGAUUUUUUAUUGAUUAAAUAUUUUUAUACUUAAAAUUACUUUGAAAUUAUAAUUUAAAAUAUGUGUUAUAUGCAAUAGUUCGAUUUACCGAACCACAAAGGGAGCCAAUGUGGUUUUGCCAAAAUCACAUACUGUAGCAUAAUAACAGAUAUUAUUAUUGUAUAAUAGAUGGGUUUAGAAAAAUUGAAGAACCAAGUAAGUUAUUUGAAAAAUGUCGAUUCUCGUACCAAACCCAUGUUUUAUGCCAAUUGUUUUUGGAUUGGAGUGCAGGCAUUAACAAUGAUGGAGAUGGAGGAACUGUAGCAUUAGUCAUAUGAAGAGUACGUGUCAGGUUUGAUUUUCAUGUGAUUUGGUUAGUGACGACGAAAACGACGACGUCGUAGUUGAAAAGCGUUUGAAUUAAUGUUGCGUUAAAAAAAAAAUUUAACUUGUUCCACUAAUUAAGUCAACAUUACUGAUGUCUUAUCACCCUCGGCCAACUUAACAAUUGGUGUCCUUUGGACAAUUAAAUAUGAUUUAUUCAAAAAAAAUAAAACUAUUAAAUAUUAAAAAUUAGGUCCAUUAAUAAUAAUAAUAAUAAUACUAAGAAUUAAGAAGAUCUAAUUACAUAUCAAAAUGACUCAAACAAAUUAAUUAAUUUCAUAUUAGCUAGCCAAGUAGGUUGUCCAUCCCACUCAGACAUGCACGAAAGCUAAAUUCAUCAAAUGAAUUACUUAAGGAGUAUUUGAUAAUUUUGAAAUUAUAAUUUCAAAUUAAAAUAGUAGUAGCAAAAUCGUAGUGCACAUUCAAUUAACCAACUAAUAGUCUAAGAAGCAAAGAGAGGAUUACAAGUUCACAACACCAUUAAAAAGGAUUCAAAAUUCCCACACGAAAACAUCAAUGUACAGAUUAUAAACAAUCCGAAUUGGACACAAGAAAAAACCCUUCAAUGGAUUGCUUGCCUUCCCAAUGCUAUAUACUGUGCAAACUGCGCACUGGCCAAGAAAAUAUUUUCAAUUUAGUGUAUUUUCAAAAUGCUUAUUUUCUCAGAAUAUAAAAAAAAAAAAAACAAAAAAAGAAUUCUUACAUGUUUCAUCAGCAUGAUUAAAAUCAAAGAAGAAAGCGAAGACAUAAUGUCUCUGACAUAAUAAAAUUACAAUUUCAUGCAGCAGAGAUUGAAGAGUUGAAUUCCACUUAUAGACACCGACCUCUUGUUUUGUCUAAUGUUAAUAACGAAAACAACAACAGAGGAUUAACUGAUGCUUUGACUUAUUAUCAGGUUGCAAUGAAUUAUUAACUGAUGCUUUGACUUAUUAGUUCUGCUGCUAAGUUAAAUAAAAUAAGGUAUUUUCAAAAGCAAAAUGGAAUACAUAGAUAAAACAUCAUCUUAAACAAAUCAUAAUCUAGAAUUGGAGACAUACCCAAGGAGAAAGAAUACGUGAAAAUGGGUGAUUCAUUUGUUAAGGAGUGUUGAUUUGGUCGUCUCUGCAAAUUCUUUAGGGACUCGGUUCCAGUUCCUCUUCAUCAAAACUGUAAUAUAAUUCCCCUUCAUCAGAACUCGAAUCGAUGCAAUAAAAUUCCCCUUCAUCAGAACUCGAAUCAAAUUCACUUGCAGCAGUUCCACUCGCGCUUGGCAAAUCAUCCAAUUUCCAAACUUCGGUAGCAAAAUUGAGAGUAAAAGUGUUGGCUUUGGUCUCUCUGGGAUUUGCAUAUACUGGACAUACUCCGCAACGUUUUAGCUUAGUGAAGAACUUAAAUGAGGCAGUUGUAUGAUGGUAACCAUCAGGAAACCCAACAUUCAAGCAAGGUUUAAAACCAAGUAUGACAUGAUCUGAAUCAAGGGAGCCAGUGCACACCAUGAAACCCAGAUCAACAUGUUUGGUUUCAGAGAGAGUCUUUAUUUCUAAGUCGAGUUGAAAGCGGACGUAAAUAUUGCAGCAAUAACAAGAAUGAAGGUGCUUAAAAUCAAGAACAGCACAAAAAGCAAACCCGAUUAAGUUUCUGCAAGAAGACUGCGGUGGCAGUUGAAUACAUAUCGAAGAUCCUGAACUUUGAUUGCUGAACCAGUCAGGAAUUUCGCUUCCAGGUAAAACAAUUAGGGAUCCCCUCAGUUCAGAAAGUUUCUGUGAAAUGACAUUUAAAAAAAAAAAUUGUAAAAUGAAAACCAUGAUUUCAGAUAUAACAAAGAGGGACAGAGUAAACAAGAGAGGGAAUUUGAUACCUCGUUGAUUGCCUUUUCAUAGCCCAGUCUCAGUGAUGCAAUUGCCACAUGCCGAAUUCUUAGUUGUGAAUCUGCCAAAAUCUUGUUGUUUGCUUUUCCAUUCAGUUUCAAGCAGUUAGUAAACCCAAAAUAAAUUGGUUGUGACUCCAGAAGUCCGGUUGCCCAUUGACGAAGGUCAGGAGAGGGUUUCGAUAGCUUUUCUAGUACGGAUGCAUCUAGUUCUUGCAGACAUGACGGAAUCUCUGGCAAAGAUUGAAGCCGGUUGCAGUUCGUUGCAUCUAGUUCUUGUAGACACAAUGGAAGUUCUGGUAAUGACCGAAGCAUGUUACAACCCGUCAAGUGAAGAUAUUUUAGACACAAUGGAAGUGCUGGUAAUGACUGAAGCAUGUUACAACGCCUCAAGUCAAGAGAACACAGCCGCGACAGUUGCUUGAUACUUGCAGGUAAACUCUCAAAGUUAUUUCCACGUAGAUCCAAGCUUUUCAGUGAGGAUAGAUAGGCAAUCUCUUGUGGAAUUUCCAUUACAGCACAGUUCAUUAUGUAUAGAAGUCCCAAAGAAGAUAAACCUAAUAAUAAUGAUCGAGGCAAUGAUACCAAACCUUUGCAGCGAGAGAAAUCAAGAAUUAAAAGUGCGUUUGAAUCUGCAACAGAGGAUGGUAGUUGACUAAUAGCUGAUCCAGCUGCUGAGAUGUGACGCAAAGAUUCUAAAUUGCCAAUGUUAUCCGGCAACUUAUCAAGUUUAGAGCAAUCACUUACGAACAAUUCUUCAAGCCCCGGUAGAUUUUCAAAUGACGAUGGCAGCUCUGUAAUUGCCGUCCCGUCUAAAUUGAUGCGUUUUAAAUGUUCCAUUUUCUCCAAGAUUUCUGGGAAGCGCUCAAGGUUCAAGCAGCCAUUAACAAAAAGAUCAACCAAAGAUCUCAAUUUACAAAACCUAGUUGAAAUCCUCUUCAGCCGUUUGCAAUCCCUCAAAUCCAACACUUCAAGAUCAGUUAGGCACUCUAUUGAUGAUGGAACUUCUUCUAUUGCAGACUGGUCUAAGUAUAGCCGUGUAAUUUUCCCAGAAAUCUGUGGAAACUCUAUGAGAGUAACACAAUAGGAGAAAUUAAUAGUUACUGGACAAACAAAAUGAAGAUUGCUUGGAAAAGACCUAAGACUUUUGCAGCCCUCAAAAGACAGCGCACUGAGAUACUUGAAAUUCUGGAUAGAUGAGGGAACACAAGCCUUUUCUCCUUCCCAAGGUUGCUCAACUUUACUAAAACGCAAAUUCAGUUCAACAAGGUUCUUUGGCUUGAAAUUUGAUGGCAGUAUCCUUAAUGGAUAUGUGUCCCAAUGAAGAUAUCUCAAUUUUUCAGGAAGAUAUUCUAGGCCAUUUGGAAGCUGCACUUCAGAGUAUGAAAGUUGCUCUUCAAUGCUCAUACUUAGAAACCUUUCAAUCUCAUAAAACUUACUUGGAAACCUUUCAAUCUCAUAAAACUUAGGUACAUAAAAUUUGAGCAAUCUCAGAUUAGACAUAUUUGUGAAGGCUCCGGGGUCUAAAUUGAUGCAUUUUAUUUUGGACAAAUCCAGAAAUAUGCCUUCAAUUGCAUCGGUCCCCUUAUAAAAAAAAAAAAACAAAGAAUGAGUAAGCCAAAAAUAAAAAAGCAACAUGCGUAAACUUUAUUAACUAAGAGCUCCUUAAACAAAAACAAAUUCUGCAAUCUUUGAUUUUAUUUUUUUAAUAUAUUAAAUAUCUAUAUGCGAGAAAAGAAAAUUUUGGGGACCAUUGCAAAAUUAAACUAACCGAAAAAAAAUUCAAAAUUUCUCUAAUUUACAAUCCUAUUAUCUUAAUAUCUAGAAGUUGAGAAGAGAGUGCCUAUUUGAUUGGUAUAAGAUUUCGAAAUUUUUUUUUUUUAGUCGAUAGAAUCCAAAAUGUUAGUUCAAAAUUAGGGAAAAAAAUAAAAGUCAUUUUUUUUCCACUAGUUAAAACUGUAUCCAAGUCAAAUUAAGAUACGACCCUUUUUAAAAAGAUUUAACCAUCUUACAGCCUCCUUAAGGUACAUUUAAGCUAAAAGGAGUAAUUUGAGGCAGAACUAGGUGGUCCAAUCAGUCCAUUUUAUUAGUGUCUGUUGCUUAAAAAAUUUAUACUCUAAAACACACUUUUUUGGAAAAAAAAAUAUAAUUACAUUGAAGUAGAAUCAGGUGGGCCAAUCCUCAUGGCACUCACUUUAUUUUGACACUCUUCACUAAAUUUGAAGAAAAAUAAAAUUAUACUCUUCACACUCUUAUUCAACAUUCCAAAAUUGAUAAAAUCUGGAGUUUUCUUUAAAAAUUUAAAAUUUGAAGACUUGUUCUCUUGACACCCUCAGUCAUUAAUUUUACCUAAUUAUGGUUUUUAUGAUUUUGGUUGUUUUGUUCAUAAAAAUGAUUUUACUAAAGGAUGCUCUGGUAAUAAUAAAAUUUAUAAAAAAAAAUGGGUGUGCUGGUAUGAUUGGAAAAAUAUGAGUGCAUAACUCCAAACAAAUAAAAGAUAUAUAAAAUAAAUGGAGGAUUCUUACCUUUUUAUGCUUGAGUACGCGGCGGAUUUCCUUAGGAUCCCACAACCUGCUGCGUUUGCCAGGCUCUUUCUCAGAUUCUUGGCGAACAAUCUGUCGCCCCAUUUCUUGCAAUAAAUCAUGCAUUUGCAAGCAAUUACCUGAUAUUGAUAUGAGUGACUUAUCAAUAAGGACAUCCAGUCCAUCAGACUCAGAAUCAUCAAGAAUCCUUGCCACAAAAUCUUUAUCCUCUCCCUCAAAGAAACACGCAAUAUCUAGAAACAAACUCUUCACCCUAGGAAUUAAUUCAUUAAAACUAAUCUUUAAUAUUUCAUAAAUAUUAUGAAUAUCAGAUUCACAAAUCCGAUUUAAGUCGUGCAAUACAUUUUCCCAAUGGCUUUUCCUCUUGAGGCACAGGGAGGAACCCAACACUUUAAGAACUAAGGGAUUGCCUUUGGCAUACUCUACAACCCUCCGUGAGUGCCAGUUGAGAUUUGUAGGACAAUGAUUUUCUUUAAAAGCGAAGUUACAAAAAUGCUCGAAAGCCUCUUCAAAUUCCAAUCCAUUAACCCUAUGUAUUUUCUUCUCCUCCCCUCUAAAUUUUUCGAGGACUCCUUUAUCCCUGGUGGUUACAACAAUUCUACUUCCUGGACCAAAUUGAUCAAGCUCUCCAAUCAGACCCUCUAAUUGUCCAACUUCAUUCACAUCAUCGAGUACUAUCAACACCUUCAUACGCCAGACCCUCUCUUUAGUAAAAUGUGGAAUAUUGGCACCAGCUACUUCAAGUUUUUCGCUUAAUAUUGUGGAAAGCAUUUCCUUUUGGAGAUGUUCUAAUCCACCUCCUGUUUCAGAAUUUCUCCUAACAUCUGACAUAAAGCAGCUACCAUCAAACUCACCAGUGAAUUGAUCGAAAAUAGCUUCAGCAAGGGUGGUUUUGCCUAUACCGCCCAUGCCCCAAAUUCCAACAAUUUGGACAGUAUCCGACAAAUCCAUACACAAAAAUGGUUUAAUCUGCUCAAUUCGUGAAUUUAAUCCAACUAGGCCAUUGGAUGAGUCCGUUGCGACUGUUAUUUUUUCCAAAUUCUUCAAAACAUCUUCGACAAUUUUGUUUACAAGUUCCGCAUCGUGCCUAAUAUAAAGGUGCAAAGAUGCAAAAACAUUGAGUCAAAUCGGGCCAAGACAGAAACAGAGAUAAGAUGAAUUAGGAAAGAGAGUUACCUGAAUUUCGUGGAUUCGUGGCCAGCAAGACCGGAUGUUUCUCUCAGUGCAUCCCUCCACCUCUGAACCAUUUCUGGCUUCUCUUCGAAGUGUUGUUUCAGCUGAUCAAAACCGUGCUUAAAAAUUCCAGUUUGAUGCCGCACAUCGGAUGGACUUACUCCAUAGAAAACCGGAAUAAUGAUUUGGCGGUUUGUGUGCUUGCAUUCAAGAAUCUUGACAAGUUCAUUCAGGCACCAUUUUGAAGAACCGUAGUCCUUUGAGAAAAUGACCACCGAAAUUUUUGAACCUUGGAUUGCGUUCAAAAGGGCAUCUGAAAUCUCAUCUCCUCGCCUAAGCUUUUCAUCAUCCAUAAAUGUUUUGAUUUUCUUUUUGUCAUACAAAUCAUCAUAGAGAUGGCAAGUAAAGAUCCUACGAGUGUCCUCCCCUCUAAAAUUGAGGAAGACUUCAUAAAUGCAAGAAGAAGAAGAAGAAGAAGAAGCAGCCAUGAAGGAAAUUUUAGAAAAUUGGUGACAGAAACAGAGAAUUAAUCUUGAGAGUUGAGAGAGGAGAUGUAAGAAUGAACAUGUGUGAAGAUUCUUGCAAGCACACAGAAAAUAAUUGAAUGGCUGGAGCUUUCUUAGUUUCCUGGAAAUUUCCUGGAGCUUUCAUAUACAUGAUUUGUCAAGUCAAGAAACAUAAUCAUGAUAAUGGGGCAGACCAGGAAGAAAAGAAAACUUGAUUCAACCAAUAAAGGAAGGAAAAGCAAAGAAAGAAAAUUUGAAAGUAGAUUCAGAGAAUUAUAAAAAGCUAAAGGAAAUUGGAAUUUUGUACAAUUUCUCCAGCGAAAAUUAAGCAUAGAAUAAUCCUAAAAUUUAAACUCUAAUAUCUUAUAAUGUAUUGAUUAAAAAUAAUCCUAAGAGUUCCCAAUUGAAACUUUCAUAAGUAUUUUAAUUGUUUUGGAUAAACAAAUUGUACUAGGAUAAAAAUUUGGCAAAUUCAGAGGAUAAUGGAAAAUAGUUAUGCUUCAAUAGGCCAAAGAUUAGAGAACAAACAAGAAUUAGUUAUUGAUACACAAAAGAGAAACACUCCAAAAUUUCAAGCAAAAAUAGUUUCAUAUACCAUUUCGAUUUUGGAAGGGGUGAGGUUUUGAACUUCAAUAGUUUCCUCUAAAAUUAAAAGGCAGCAAUUAAACUAGAAAGAGCAAUGAAGACUUAUUGGUACUUUAUUGAAGGUAAACAUUAUGAAACUUUCAAUGUCAUUACCUCAUUGUUCAAUUUUUAUUGAGAUUUGUGUAAGCAUUUAGCUAAAUCUUACCUCCGCCUUUAAAUUCAUUAGUUUUGAUUAAUUAUGAGACCUGGGAGAUAUUAUAAUCGAACUAAAACUUAAAAUUUCAAUAUCAUUAUUCUUUAAAAAGAAAUUGAGAUUUCAGAGUAAUAUCACAUAGAAAAACUUGCCCACGGACGGUAAGCCAAAAGUCUAGUCAACCACACGCAUAAAGCUAACUAGAACAAGAGAACAGAGAAACGCGUGGGUCCCUAAAAGAAAAGGCGUGGGUCCCAAAAGUCUAGUCAACCAUACCGAUGAAAAUCACUGAUUAAGAAUAAUAUAUUAUGUGGUUGAAGAUUUCUUUUUAUCAAUCUUCUUUCUACCCAUUAAUUUUCCCACGACUUUCCGGUUUCAUUUCUUGAAUCUCCAUGGAUUAACUUUCAAUAAACCAUAAAAUAAACUAAGGAAUCAUUUUCUCGAACACAGCUAUGAUUUUAAUAAAUGGGCGGACCAUCUAGAAUAGUAUAUAUAAUUCUGUUUAAUUAAUAAGUUGAAAAAACCAUAAAGAGAAAUUCUAAUAUUAUGAGCUUGACACGAAUUCUUCACUAAUUCCAAAACAAGGAGCUGUUUUAUAAGAACUGUGGUUGGAUUAUUAAGUUUUACAAUUUGAAUAUAAAUAAGAAAAUAAAAUCAGUCGCGUCGAUGUUUUCGAUACAUUUCGAUGCUAACUUAAUUAAUUACUUUACUUCAACUUUAUUUCCUGACGGACACUAUAUGGUGGGUCCAAGAUGGGACCUACAAUAAUCAAUCCUAGAAUUUAGUAUGGUUACCAAAUAGCUAGUGUUAUUUUGUGUUUGGUGGAAGAGAUUGAAUAUUUAGUUUUAACAUAACCAUUCAACUAAUUAGAAAAUAAAUAAAGUUAAAUGAAAUGUUUAGAUAUCAAUUUAAAUAUUAAUAUCCGGGAUAUAAAUUAGUUAUAAUAUAGUUCAUUACAUAAAAUUGAUUAAAUUAAUAAUUACACAUGAACAUAGAUGUAUAUGCUUUCCAAUUUCCAAAGUGCUCAAAGCACUUUUCUCACCAAACUUUCCUCUGAAUUUCCCGUAGCUGACUCCAUUGUUUGCGUUUUGUGAAAUUUCUAGGAACUUUUUCUAUUUAGAAUAUUGUACAUUUUUCUUUUCAGCUGAGAUUAAUUUAACUUAUAGAAAAUCUUAUCCUUUUUUUAAUAUUAUUUAAAUAAAAUUUGUCUAUCUUUCAUUUUAUCAGUCUACUUUUUACCCAUUAAUUAAGACUUUUCGAUUUCUUUUUUUCCUGAGGUUUUCAGUGACUAUCUUUCAAUAAACCAUAAAAAUUAAUGAGUCAUUUAUCGAACAAUUAGAUGACCAUAUUUCAAAAUAUCAACUAGAAGUUGCCCUGAAAUAUUUAAUUAAUAGUUGAAGAAUUGUGAUUAGUGUGGGCAUCUACAUAAAAAUUAUAUUAAAACACCGCUAAAAGAUAAAAAUAAAAUAAAAUAGUACAAACAUACACCCAUAGGUUAAAACAAAGAAAAAACACGAACCAAUACACUAAAAUGUUUUAGCUGUAGUUAGUUUUCAGUUUCAUUACUUAAGUCCCACGUGCAUGUCACGUGACUGAGGUCAAAAAAUGAUUGUCAGAUUAAAGUUCAAAGUACGGAGCAGGGUAAUUAAGGAGUGGAGCUAUUGGCACCCCUCCAUUAUUCUUACAAAACCCCACUUUAAAUCAAAUUAUAAUUAAGAAUAAUUGAAAAUUAAACACUUAUAGAUUUCUUUACAACAUGUUUAGUGAUAAAAAAGCACCAGUCGGGCAUGUCCCCAUUUCUUACCCGGGGCCGAAUCUCCUCGGCCGAAUGGUAUGAGUAGACUCUUGGUGAUGUGUUCUAUGUGGAGCACGUAAAACAGACCAGGAACUAGUACCAACCAGAAACGAGUACUGAUCAGAAACAAGCAUGACCAGAAACGCAUACCGACUAGAGACUUGUGGGUCCCUAAAAGAAAAGGCAAGCACAUAAACGAAAAAGCCAUUACAUUUCUAUUUUACAUGUCAUUCCUAAUUUUUGUAACACGGUGUGGCAGCAUAUGCACAAUCAAAUGAGGCAAAAGGGAUUCGACUAUCGUGGCAGAACAUGGACGAGGAUGCGUGAUGAAUAAUUCCUUCGAUAAAACGAAAAACAAAUGCAGAGAAAAGAAUUUCUUAUAUGACAAGAAAUUAAAGUAAUGUGACGGAACAUGAUGAAGAAAUUGCAGAUCGAUCAAUUAUCCCCAUGGACUCCUAUAAAUUCAACCAAAAUAACAAUUCCAAUAUUACCAAAUUCUUGAGUUAAAUUUAUUCAAUGCUUUUUUUUUUUAGAGAAAUUUUUUCCAAUGCUACUUUCCCUUUUUUGGGGAAAUUAGAACUGCGGCAUGUAUAGAAGACAUUGAGGUAUAAAGCAACAUUAAUUUCAUGGGUUAUGCGUUAUACGCAUAAUAUAUUGUCAGUCCAAAUUCAACUAUACAAAGAGGCUUGAGAACUUAAAAUUAAGCACAAACUAAACAGACGAAGUAAAUACAUGAUUAUGCAACAUAACAUUAAUUCUCUUAAUUUAUAACUGUUUUUGCCACAUGAAUCUUGCACAGUUAAUCCUAAUUGAAGACUAAAAAAGAACAAUUGGAACAAGGUUUUGAAAUAGAAUGAUAUACAAUCGAUAUGAUCCAUUUCCAGUCGUCAACGCUAAUUAACUGCAGUUUCUAGACUCCUAAUUAUACUAGCCAUAAGAAACUGUUUAGAAAACUGGUGAUCAGAUUAGAUUUUGAAAAGAAAUAAUUUUCAUUUUCCCUUCGCUACCUUUUUUUUUUAAUUAUUUUUAUACCAAAGAAUUCUAUCAUGAAAAGAAUCAAUUUAAUCACCUUUUCCAGCAGCACAAUUUUUCUUUUAUAAAAUUUGACCACAGAGACAAAGAAGAAUUAUUCAUACCUUCAUCAGUAAGGAAAUACUUUUCAUUAUGGCUAGGGUGAGAAAAGGCUUUCCACAACACUUGUACUUUGUAUUCCUGUAAAUUUUCUUUAAAGUCAAUAAAAACCAUAAGUUCUUUACAAUAACCAUCUCUUUGAUAAAAAAGUGCCGUAUUCCUUUAGAAUUUAAAACCGGAAAAAUUGAAUCAGUGUCUUUGAAGAGACAUAAUGGUCGUAAUUCUUUAAAUGAGUUGGCUAUGGAAAUCCUUAUCCAAGAUUCUUUUACGCCAUAUUCUUUCGUAAACCAAAAUUCAUUUUGGAAUACUCUGUUGAGAAUGUCAAAUAAAACGGCAUUGAAGGAAGUUUUCAAAGGCAGAAUCCGCACUUGUCAAAGGGAUGAUCUGCACUUGUCAAAGACACGAUCCGCGUCGAAUGAAUCGACACAUUUCCUUUCGUAUUCGCAUAUGUAAUCUUUGAAAAAAUGUAGCUUCUGCAUCUAUAAAUAACGCUUAGUGUAUAAUGUUUUAUUCAAGAAAAGAAAACAAGUUUCUUCAUACUCGUCGUCCGAACAUACAGAGACCGUCUCUUAUAACUUCAGCCGAAUACUUAUGAUGAUGAUCAUUUGUGAUUUCAUCAGGCAAAGGGUUGAUGGUGAAAAAAUUUGUAUGUGUGAAGAAUUGAGCUGUGGAUAUAGGGGACUUAAGUGUAAUCGAAAGAGAGUUAUUAGGCCAUAGUGCAGAUUGCAUUCAGUUUAUGAGUCGAUAUGCAAAUAAUUUGUUGACGUGGCGAAAUUUGUUAUGGUCGUUACUAUUGUUUCUGGAAAUUUUCUAGAAACCUCAGCAUAAAAGGGGCUUUUGCAUAGCCUCUGGUGUGCGUGUGAUUUCUCUUUCGUUUCCUCAUCAAAUUCUGUAAUUCUUGCUUUGAUAAAAAGCUUGUAAUCUCUUCUGUAAUGUGUGAUCAGUGCGUAAUCAUUUUGAGCAAUAAGAGCUUGUGGGUUUUUCCUUCAAACAGUGUCGUUUUGGUCAGUUUGUUAGUUUGAUCUGUUGGUGGAAUUUUCUUUGGUUAUUUGUUCUCAAAUUUCAACCGUAUAUAAAGUUUGAACUCUAAUGGCUUAUAAUGUAUUGAUUAAGAAUAAUCCUAAGAGUUCCCGAUUGAAAUUUUUAAUGACUAUUUUUAUUGUUUUGGAUAUACAAAUUGCAUUAAGAAAAAAUAUUGUCAAAUUCAGAGGAUAACGGGAAAUAAUUAUGCUUCAAAAGGCCAGAGAUUAGAGAACAAAGAAGCAUUCAUUACUGAUAAACAAAAGAGAAACACUCCAAAAUUGCAAGCAAACUAGUUUCAUAUACUAUUUGGAUUUUGGAAGGGGUGAAGUUUUGAACUUCAGUUGUUCCUCUAAAAUCAAAAGCAUCAAUUAAGCGUUCUCAAUUAGAAAUAGCAAAGAAGACUUAUUGGUACCUUACUGAAGUUAACAUUGUGGCACGGUUGUUCAUAUGUAAUGGCUGCUCUGUUAUGCUAGCUUCUCUGUUUUUGCUUACAGUUUUGAACAUAAAUUCUUGCUCAAAUAACCCAUAAUUAAAUAACACUAAUAUGGCUCGUGAAGUCCCAUAAUAGCUAAUUACGCAACUUUCUCCUCCUCCUCAAUUAUGUCUUCCCCUGCUCGGACACUAACUUCAAAAUUCAAUGCCCCGAAAAACAACACAAGAAAUCUUUGAGUUAGUUCGUGACCAGUUUAUAUAUAGUAGCAAUUGAAAAAAGAAAAAGAAGAAAAAAGUUAAUUAUUAUUCAGACCUUCACUUAUUAGGAAGUUUGUUCUGCUAUUGGGUGAGAUCAAGCUCUCAGCAUAUACUUCCACAUGAUACUUUCUAACAUUUUCUUGAAAGCCAUCAAUCAUAAAAUCUUCAUACUUUUUUCCAUCCUUUGGAUCAAUAAGUACAAUUUUUUCAUCUAAAACAGACAAAAUAAAAUCACUGUCCUUCAUGGAACACAAUGGCUGCAAUGCCUGAACUGAAUUGGCUAAUGAAAUUUGAGUCCAGGAUUCUCUCAGCCCAUAUUCUUUCAUAAUCCAAAAUUCUUUUCUUUCUCGACAUGGAACAUAGUCUUCUUUUCUUUCUCGACACAUGUCUCUGUACUUUUCUCUCUCUACUGAUCCACACUUUUUCAUACUUCUAACUAUCAUUUUGUUUUUUUUUUUUUUUGAGUUGUGAUUUAUUCAAUUAUUUUGUAUUUUUAAUGACAAUUGUUUAAUAUUUAGUUAGUUUUGAUAUUGAUUAGUGAUUGAAAGUGUAUUUUAGAAGACUUCCGGUCUCUUGAAAAAAGGAAAAAUGGAGAAGAAGAAGAAGUGUUCUUGAUUUUUUUGUAGGCAUUAAAGUUAAACGGUUUGAAAUGAUAUUUUGUUUUUAUUUCACUCAUUAAUCUCAUUCAGGAUAAAAUUAUAAAUGCAAAUAAAUGGGGUUUCAUAAGUAUUUUUAAUAGUGUUAAAAGGUCUACUCACUAAAUAAACAUGUUUUACCCAAACCAAUCCGAUUAAUAAGUUAUUAGGUUGGGUUGAUCAGGUUAAAAAUCAAAAUUAAAAAUUAAAUAAAUAAAAGGCAUAAAAACUAUCUGUUACUUGAAAAUAAAAAGAAUUUCUAAUAGUUAGUUCUAAUGUCCCAUAUCCAAAACAUGCAUAUUGUGAGGUUUGCUGGUGAAUCAAACUCAUCAGAACCAAAUGAUGACGUUUUGGCAAUUGAAGGAGCACUUAAAAGACACGUGAAACGCACGUCUGUUGUCACUUAAGAUUAAAGCUUGAAACGGCAGUUCAACCAUGUCGUUUAAAGGAAGCUUAGAAGUGAUGCACGUGACAGAUGUGUGAAGCAGCUCAUCUCAGUUCGUUAAGUUUGUUAUGCUACGUGUAAGCAAUCAGUUCGAUCUGGGUUUAGCUGGUUAGUUGCUCUGUUAGUUAUAAGAGCAGGCUGAUGAAACGAUUUGGGUUAAGCUUGUGAAUUCAUAUCAGAGAGAGAGAGAUUUCAGUGAAAGGGUUAAGAGUUCUCUGAAAUCUUGUAAACCAUUCUCUGUAAGAAAGAUCCUCCAUUGUUGAAUAAUAAAAGCUCUGCAGAAAACUUUUCCUGUGGAUGUAGAUUGUACCAAUUUGGUACAACUGAACCACGUAAUUGAUUCUUGUGUUGUCUGUGAUUUGUUUGUUUCUUGAUUCUCUAUUCUUUCUAGUUCUUGGGUACAUUGUUUUCACUUGGCUAGAUUCAUUCCUCAAUCUGUGCAUCUUGUAUAGUUCUUUAUCAAAGGUCCUGGGAAGUGUUUUAUUUGUCUUGCAUGUUAUAUAGCAAAUUAAAACACUACACAUAUUAAAUAAUAUAUUAUAAGUUAGAAAUACAAUAUCUAAAGAAAGAAUUAAUGAAAUAACAUAUUCUUGUUGAGAAUUAAGAGUGUGAUUUUAAUUUUGAUAUUGGAGUCUAAAGCAAUAGAUAGUACAAUGAAAUCAUGAAUGCUACGUUUAAAUAAUCUCUUUUAUAAAAUAAUAAAAAGAGGUUAAAAAUUAGGUUAACAUUUAGGGUUUAGCAGUUAAGGAUGAAUAUAUUAUUAUUGUUGUUGUUGUUAUUAUUAUAAUAAUAAUUAUUAUAAUAAUAAUUAUUAUUUAUAUGUUAAUUAAUUCAAUCCAACUUAAUUAUUAAUGAAUUUGAAAAAAUUGACCCAAUUAAUCCACAAUAAUUCAUUCAACUCGUCUAAAUUAGAUUAAGUUGAACUUAAUUUGCUACCCCACAUUGAGCAACAAACCUCAACGUCAUUCUACGAGCUCUUUGAUUGUUUAUAAAAUUGAUUUAGAGUACAUAAAGUGUAUCGACAAUGAAAGUGCAAAACAAAUUAUUGUACAUAUUAAAAUGUGCAAAAACAAUGAAUUAUAUGUACAAACGAGUGCAAACACAUUUUUCAAUAAGAAGUUGGAAGAUAUUUAUGCAUGAAAAAGCCUACGUUUGUAGUUAUUCUAAAUUUUAAAAACAAAAUUUACAUUUAGAUUCCUAAAAUUUACAUAUAAGUAUAAAAGUUUCAAAUAUUGUCUAUUAUUUUUUUAACAUGCCUAUUCCUUGUGGAUAAUUUUGUCUCAUCACUAAUGUUGUUUCUUGCUUACAAAAACCAAAAGCCACCUCCUUUUUGCAAUUUUUAUAGCGUCUCAAAAUAGACAAUAGGGGGAUUUUGAAUUUUUUAAGUCUCAAUAUAGUCUCUAAUCUUGUGAGAAAUAUUUUCUUUCAAUAAUUUGGAGGUAAACAUAACAUAACUUUUUGGACUAAAGCCUAACUCUGCUAAUAAGUAAUUGGUGGUAUCCUUUUCAAGACUUGAGUCUUUAGAUUCGAGUUUUAUAUAGUGUGCAUGUGUAUUUAAUUAAUAUUUUUUUUCAAAAAAAAUUACAUCAAAUACUAAUAUUCAUGACAUAAUUUAGUUCAUAAUUUUUUUAAAUACAUCGAAAAAUAUAAUUUUUUAACAACUUAAAGGCAUGACAAAUUUCAAGAUAUAAAUAUCAGUCAAAAUAAGUGAAAGAAAUAAUGGUGUCAAUUCUAAUUUCUUAACUAAAUUAAUUACUGCAUGAGCCCCGAAUAUGACACGAGAGUUUGAUGGGCUAACUUGGCACAAGAACGUGAAUAGUUAACUCAUUUAAGAAAUAAUUCAACAAAAAAUAUAAUUGAUAAGAAUGCAAUAUUGAAAUGAAUUUUUUACGAAACAUUGAAUUAAUGAUUAUUAAGCAAGAACAAUAAAAAAAUAAAAUAAAAAUAAAGAUUAACCAUUGAUAAGCUUCAACAAGAACUUAACACAACCCUCAAUCCUAAUUCAAAUUAUAAAUGUCAUUCAUAUAUUCAUUAUAAAUCAAUAACAAAGGUUAUAAAUGUUUAGAAAUUCUAGAGGGAAGGAAGCUAUCGCCGGGGAAUCAACAACUAAAAUUGAUGUAAUUGUGGCACGAGAUGGAAUAUGGAAACUACACCAUAAUUUUAAAUGCCGCCAUAGACAUUGACUUAUCUACAAUAACAAUGAUCUAAUUAAAAUAAAAAUAGAGUUUAUGGGCAUUUAUUAUUUUGACAUUCCUCAUUUGCAAAUAGGGAUACAAUUAUAAUUUAUUUAGUCAAAGCAAACAGUAAUUUUCUUCAUUAUAGGAGUGAAGUAAAAACAUUUAGAUUUUAAUGUAUGUAAGGAAAAAUUUAUCUUUAAAAAUACUUUCUUAAUGUGUGUAUGCAUAUUGAAAUACUCAAACCAAUUUUGGUUAUAUAUAAUUAAACAAAUUUUAAAAUAUGAAAAAUAUAAUGUAGUUAUAGUGGAUAAACAAUAAGUGAGCACAAUAUAAUUAAUCAAAUAUUGUGCUAUCAAAAGUUAAUUUUAGAAAUUCCAAAUCCAAUAGCUAACACAAUUCUUUAAAGAAAAAAAAAAGGUUGACACAAUUAAUAAAAUUAGCGACAUGAAUUUCACGCCAUUGAUAAUCAGCAAUUAGUAUUACUUUCUAAACUUGCUUCAACUGGUCGUUGAUGUCCGGGUCACCAAAAGUAUAAGCGAUAAUAAGGGGCAUUGGGCAAGAGUGAUGAAUGUUUAGUGGGUGCAUUUGAUUGAUAGAUAUAUAAAGGGCCGAAACUUGAGAUUAUAUUACUUUUACAAAUUUUAAUCCAAUCACAUAUUUAAUGAAAACAAAAUGAGUUAGGAUACUUUAUUUAAAAUACACAUUUUAAUAAGGCUUCAUUUAAUUAAAUAAAAUUAUAAAAGUAAAAUAUAUUUUAGAUAUUUUAAUAUUUAAGAAAAAAUUUUCAAUCUUUACUUUCAGAAGCUCAAAUUUUUAAUUUUUAGUUGUAGAGACAAAAUAUCUUAUUUAAUGUUUAAAAGUUCUGCUAAAAACAAUCAAAUAACUACAAAAAUUUUAAUAAGAGCAUAUAAAAUUAAAUAAGCAUUUAUUAAUAAUCACUUUAGUGUACUUAUCUAAUAACAAUAAGUGUUUAUUUAAUCUAAUAAGUUUUUAUUUAAUCUAAUGAGCUCUUUUUAAUUUUUUUUUAGUAGAGCUUUUGAAAAUUAAAUAAACUAUUUUGUCUCUAUUAAGAAAAACUUAAAAUUUAGGUUUUUGUAAGUAAAUGUUUAAAUUUUUUUUAAAAAUAUUAAAAUAUUAAAAUAUCUUUUCUUUAUUUCAUAAUCUUAUUUCAUUCUUCACAACAUAACUUUAAAUAACUUACCUAUUAAAAUAAUUUCACAAUUUCUAAUAAAAACUCCGAUUAACAAUCAAGCAAUAAUUUUUUUUUUUUUUUUGUAAAAAUUCUAUUUGUAAAAACUCUAAUAAUAAAAAUUCUACUUAAAUAAAUUUUAUUUGAAAAGGUAUACUAAACGAACCUAAGAUAAAAACAAAAAUUUUUAGAUCCAGACAAUUAAGCUUAAAACAAUUUCAAAUGAAUUUUAGACUAAUCAAAGUACAAUACGUACCAAGUUUGGUAAUUUAUUGACAUCUUCUUAUAUACCUUCGAUCAAGUCGAUUCUCACUUGACGACUAAUUGGUAGUUUGGUACAUCACCGUUGUUCCCUAUACUCGCAUGCAUCCGAUCACAAAUCUCACUCCAAUUGUUGUCUUUCUUCGGCGUUUUAGCGCAUCCUUCUUGAAUUUCUCGCAUUUCGUUCCCUUACAAGUCUCCGGUCAGGUCAGUUCACUUGACGAUUAAUUCGGCAAAUCUUGAAUCUCUUCUCUAUCCCUCUCGUUUUCUCGUGUCUCCUUUCAGUUAAAGCGAUUGAAUCAAUUUUAUCGCAGUCUAAGAGAAAUUAAGUAAUGCUCUUGGAUUUAAAAUUUUUUUGCUUUCGACUUUAGAUCUCGAAAGUCAAACUCUUCUACGAAUCCAUAGAUUCUCAAUGUUUAUAAUCUUAUUUGUGUUUGACCAGGUAACUGGAUCGUGAAAUUCGUCGUUUUGUAUCAAUUCAAGCUUUCGCGAGCUCAUGGAAUCACCUGGUGAGUUGUGGUGAAACGUUACCGUUUCAAUUUUCGCUUAAUUCUUUAUUGCAUAUUUUUUUCUCUAAUAUUUCAGUUUAAUUAGAAAAGAAAGAGGACCCAAAAAGAGAGAGAGAGAGAGAGACUCUACCAUACUCAAUUCCUUGCUCAUUCUGAUUUGGCCUGAAUGUUGGCAUUGACUAUUAUUUGUUUUCAUUUCGAUUUAAUUCUCAUUUAGACAGUCUUUACUAACGGUCAAUAAUAGUUUAAGGAAAAUGAUAAUAGGGAUUCUGCAAUAAUCUUUCUGCAUUGUUCAAGUUAGUAGACAAUGAAUAGGAUGUUUACGUUUACCUCAUUUUGAACCCCGAGGGCUUAGUUGAGUAGUUGAUUGAUUCAAUCUUGCAAUGUGUUCCCACAAGGUUUUGAGUUUGAUUCCUAAUUAUGUGGACCUUAGUUUCGAAUUUGAGUUUGUUAGGUGGGUUGAUGGGGUUUUUGGGUAUUAAAAAGGGAGAAGAAAAAAGUUGCUUGCUUCAUUUUGUACAAACCUGUUGACUUUUUAUUUUUUUCUUUUUAUUUUUGUACUAUUUUGUUUUACAGUUGGUGGUUCAAGACAGACAUCUGUUAUUGUUGUAACUUUGGAUACUGGUGAAGUAUAUAUUGUAACCAGCUUGUAUUCUAGGACUGACACUCAAGUGAUAUAUAUUGAUCCAACUACUGGUGCACUUCGCUACCAUGGGAAAUGGGGCUAUGAUGUUUUUGGAUCUGAAAAUGAAGCAGUAGAUUACAUAACAAAUGGAUCACGAUGGAUGUGCAAGAGUACAACUUUUGCCAAGGCGAUAUUGGGUUAUACUGCCCUGGGAAGCUUUGGGCUGCUUCUUGUUGCCACAAGGUUAACUGCCAGCAUUCCAAAUCUUCCUGGUGGAGGAACUGUAUGCACGGUUACAGAGAGCCAAUGGAUCAAAAUUCCACUUCAAAAUCCUCAACCCCAGGGUAAAGGAGAAGUAAAGAAUGUUCAAGAGUUGCCUGAUCUUGACAUUGAUGGGAAGCACUACUUUUGUGAGACAAGAGAUAUCACUCGACCUUUCCCCAGCCGCAUGCCUUUGCAAAAUCCUGACGAGGAAUUUGUUUGGAAUGAAUGGCUUUCGAUGCCUUUUAAAAGCAUUGGUUUACCUCAGCAUUGUGUCAUUCUUCUGCAGGUUUUGCUUCAUACUCGGUAUCUUCAAAAUUUAUGCUCAUUAAACUUCUUUCAUUCCCCACCCUCUCACUAUCCCUCCACCUAAUUUUGUUUCCAAAAGUUUGUUUGAUAGUCUAUUGCCACUAUAUGUAAAUGUAUCAUUUCCAUUCUGAGCAUGAUAUUUUAUUCAUCAUCACUUGUUAUUCUAAUCUUUAGAUGAAAGAAUAUUUCGUAUUAACAUUUUUCAUGGGCCAGUACCUAUUUUAUGGUCCAUUGUAGAUACUAAAAUGACCAACUUUAUUUCUUGGUCAUAAAAAGUUGCGACAGAAAUUUUAAACAUGUGAAUAUUUAAAUCUGAUAAUUCAUUAAAGAUUUCAACCUAAUAGAUUGAAAACUUAGAUUCAUUCCAUGAAUGAAAGAUAAUAAAGCAUCAGCCGAUGGAAUAUGGGAAAUAGAAACACUUUCCCUUCUAUUAAGAAGAGCCUGCUUCAGAUGAUCCUCAUUUUCUUCAUCCACAGGCCAACCUAGAACAUACCACACCAAGGUAAGAAAGAAAAGGGGUAGCAGGAUUGCCUAGUUUGACAAUUAGCAAAGCCCCAAAUGUUCCUCUUUUACUUUUCUUUUAGAAAGGUAGACAUGUUUGACAGAUUUGGGACAUUGCAUCAUCCCUUUCUGCUGCACAUGGUUGCAAUGUUUUACUUCUCACGUGAAAGCCUAGAAAUCCCAAUCCAAUAAUAAAAGGCCAUUUUAGAGUCAAUGUACAAAAACUUCCUUCCUUGUCUCUAUAUCCUCUUUUACAAUCCAUUCUUAGUUGAAUUGAGAUUAUGCUACAGCUGCUUCUUCAAGUUAACAUUGUUAUGCAAUUCAAUGGUGAUUUACGUGUGUACUUGUCCUAAGCAUGUGAUUUGAAAAUAAUAUGUUAAUAUUGUUUUCACUGGAUAUUAAUGUAUAGGGAUUUGCAGAAUGUCGAAAUUUUGGAAGAUCAGGUCAGCUAGAAGGGGUUGUUGCUCUUAUAGCUCGUCGUAGUAGGCUGCAUCCUGGUACUCGAUACUUGGCUAGGGGGAUUAAUUCUUGUUUUAGUACAGGUAAGAUAAUCUUUAACAUCUCCAGACCUGGAAAUUACAUUUUUGUUGUUGAGAUUCACUUGGUUCUUCUAUACAAUCAAAAAAAUUAAGGAUUUAGUUUUUUUUUUUUUUAAACGGAAUUUUCUUUUCCUUUCAGUACUCUUUGCAUUCUGUGUAUGCUGUUUAUUCUGAUUGUCAUUGAUCUCAUGCCUUUACAAGGAAACAGGUAAUAGUUUCAGUGGUAAAUUCAAGUGGAAUUGGUUUUGAUUCUGUUGUUUAGAAAGAUGGAUUGUAGAACUACAGAACAUUAAUCGUGCCACCUCAUGGCUCAUGCAUGCUUUUGGAGUAUUCUUUACCUGUAGAAUUUUUGUUUUUGUAGUUGACUUGGAAUAUAACUUUACCAUUUUUUUCAAAUAAUAAGAAUCAAUGAGUCUCAUCAAUAUUAAUCAAUAAUGAGCUAAAGAUAUAUAACUUGUGUCUCAGAACUAUAUAUGAUAUGCUUGUGAAGGUGUAUUAUUUUAAGUAGAGAUACCAAAUGCUACAGGGAGAAGCAAAAAAGAACAUUCUCCAGUGAAAACCUUCUGACAGAUUACAUUUUUGGGAUAAAAAAGAAACAUUGAGAUCAUCAGCCACACUUUUUCUUCUUGUACUGUUUAAUUAGUUUAGAGGCCUUUUAGUUGGUUUUGCUUGCCUGGAGGUGUCAUACAGUUCACUUUUUGAAUACCCUGGUUUUCUACAGAUUAGAACUUGGUUUCCUUUCACUCCACAGCUUUUGCUUUCCUACAUCACGUCCUUUGGGAUAAUUGAAUAAUGAAUGAAUGAAAACAAUCAAAUAAUUUCUGACAAUUAGUUAAUAACUUUUAUUUUGUAUGACCCUUUUGAUAUGUGUGGUCCUUUAAUUUACGGUUGAAAUAUAAAUAUGAAAAAAGUCUGCCAAUUAGUUUUACAAAUGACUUUUGUGCCAUAGAAUAUAUAUAUUUUUUUUUUGCCGAAAAACAAAACAAAUUCAUAAACAACAUUGUAUUUCACCAAUUAACAGUGCAAGUGUCAUUAUAGUUUCCACAUAUUAGUUCUGUUUUCGUUAGUUUCAUUUUCAUUCUGUUAUGUAACUGAUGUUUCAUUGCUAUAAAAUUAAUUGUCUGUUUCUCUUCACAACUGUUAUUUUGAAUGAUUUUUUCUGAAUUUUAUAAAGAAUUUGUAUAUGACAGGAAAUGAAGCAGAGUGCGAGCAACUUGUAUGGAUUCCUAAAAGGUCUGGUCAGAGUGUUCCUUUCAAUGCAUACAUCUGGCGGCGAGGGACUAUUCCAAUAUGGUGGGGUGCAGAAUUAAAGCUUACUGCUGCUGAAGCAGAAAUUUAUGUUGCAGAUCGGGAUCCUUAUAAAGGAAGUCUGAAGUAUUAUCAGAGGUUGAGUAAUCGAUAUGAUGCUCGAAACUUUGACUUAGCUGUUGGGGAAAAUCAGAAGAAAAAGCCUUUUAUUCCAAUUGUAUGCAUUAACUUGCUUAGGAAUGCGGAAGGGAAAUCAGAAUCUAUUUUAGUUCAGCAUUUUGAGGAAUCUUUGAACUAUGUCAGAUCAACUGGAAAACUUCCUUAUACUCGAAUAAUUUUAAUAAAUUAUGACUGGCAUGCCAGUACAAAAUUAAAAGGUGAACAACUUACAAUUGAAGGAUUAUGGAAGCAUCUAAAAGCACCCACUCAGGCCGUAGGCAUUUCUGAAGGGGACUAUUUGCCAUCACGGCAACGACUUAAUGAUUGCCGAGGUGAAGUCAUCUGCAAUGGUGACUUUGUGGGUGCCUUUUGCUUAAGAUCCCAUCAGAAUGGAGUGAUACGCUUUAACUGUGCAGACUCUCUUGAUCGGACCAAUGCUGCUAGUUAUUUUGGUGCUCUGCAAGUAUUUGUGGAGCAAUGUAGGCGGCUUGGGUUCUCCCUUGACAGUGAUUUUGCAUAUGGCUAUCAGUCAGCUAAUAACUAUGGUGGAUAUACUGCUCCUUUGCCACGAGGAUGGGAGAAACGAGCUGAUGCAGUGACAGGAAAAACAUAUUAUAUCGAUCACAACACUAGGACCACAACAUGGAUUCAUCCAUGCCCAGACAAACCUUGGAAGAGAUUUGAUAUGACAUUUGAGGAGUUCAAGCAAUCAACAAUUUUAUCACCAGUGUCUCAGCUAGCAGAUCUUUUUCUGCUUUCUGGUGAUAUCCAUGCAACCCUUUAUACUGGUUCAAAAGCAAUGCAUAGCCAAAUUCUUAAUAUAUUCAAUGAAGAACCAGGAAAGUUCAAACAAUUUUCUGCAGCACAAAAUAUGAAAAUUACCCUGCAGAGAAGAUACAAAAAUGCAGUUGUCGAUAGCUCUCGUCAGAAACAGCUGGAGAUGUUUCUUGGAUUGAGGCUUUUCAAGCAUCUUCCAUCUGUUUCAGUUCAACCUCUACAUGUAUGAUACUGUAGAACUUCAGAUUACCUAUUCAUACAAUCUGAGUUCAAUGAUUAUCAAUUUUCAUGAGGGAUGGAGACAAUAUUACACUAGCUACUUGUUUCUAACCUAAGCAUCCCUAACUUCUGCACAUAAAUAAAUGAUGCGCAAAGCAUACCAUAGCUAUAUCAAUGCCCAUUUCCUGUUUGAUGUUGACCAAUAAUGUUUGGAAGUUAGCUAUUGCAUGGUAAGAUGAUUUGAAGCUUCAUUUAAAGCUUCUAAGCCAGAGCUUCUAAGUCAUCUGGCUUAGAGAAUUUAAAUGUCCUCCAAAAGUCUGGAAUCACUGUUGCAUCUCAGCCUGAUUGAUAUUUGUUAUUGUUAACUUGGAAAUAUUUUGUUAAUCUUUCGGAUUGAACAACGUCGUGCUAUGAUCAUUAUUCAAGAAAUGACCUCAAGAACUUGUUGCAGUUGAGUGAUUUUUUGGUAAUGAUGAAAAUUAUUCAUGUUUAGGAACAGCUCUUUAGGGGAAAAGCAUAUAUGGGCUGGCUGGCCCUUUUUGGUGUAUUUGAUGAACCAUUUCAUAUCAUGCUGGUAACUGCAGGUUCUUUCUCGACCAUCUGGUUUCUUUCUCAAGCCAGUUCCCAACAUGUUCCCAAGUUCUGAUGGUGGAGCUAGUCUUCUAAGCUUCAAAAGAAAAGACAUGAUCUGGGUAUGGGUUGCAGCUAAACUUAGUCCUUUGUAGCAUUCCUAAUUCUCUGAUUGUCUUUUCUUUGUAGCAUUCUUAAUUCUCUGAUUGUCUUUUCUGUCCUUAAUGGAAUUCAUGCAUUUUUGGUUCUUUAGGUAUGUCCACAAGGCACAGAUGUGGUUGAACUUUUCAUCUACCUUGGUGAACCUUGUCAUGUCUGUCAGCUUCUUCUCACCAUAUCCCAUGGUGCAGAUGAUUCAACAUAUCCAGCAACAGUUGAUGUGAGAACAGGACGCCACUUAGAUGGGCUUAAACUGAUUUUGGAGGUUUGUAUUGGUUCUAUUGUACACCUUGCUUACAAAUUUUUUAUUUUUAAUUUUUAAUUUUGUAUGAUAUGCUCUUUGUUGGUAAAUUUCAUUUGACUUAGAAGAGAUAGUUUUAUCCCAACAGUGGGAUACAUCAUUGAGAUGCAUGGCAGAGUGAAUAUAGUAGACAAAAUCAUUGAGACCCAUGGUGGUGUGAACAUAGUAAACUUUGUCAAACACAGCUAAGAUGAGCAAAUUGUUUCAUUAGCCUUUAUCUUAUCUGCUGUGAUGAUUCAAAUUAAUGCUGUUUGGUAGGUUGCAAAAAAACGAAAUGAGCUGACUGUUCGUAUUAUUUAGUCAGAUCUCUAGCAAUAAGUUGAAGUUCAUUGUCACAUGGGUUGGGAGUAUCGUGGGCUGUGAGUAGUAGAAUGGAUUUAUGGAGUUGAUACAAGUGCCCACAAUCUCUCAUGUCAUUCUAGGAUUAAAUGGAUUGCACAUUACUGUAAAAAUGGAGGUUAAAUUUAUAUAAUUCGGAUUGAUUGUAAAAUGGAAGACAGAGAUGAGUUAGAAAAAGAAUGACCCGUGUCCUUUUUGAGCUGUUUCUAAAUGUCCCUGGUGUGCCUCAUGCUUAACACGUGCCUUUCCAAAUAAUUUUGCUUAACCUGUGCUUGUCUACUUCUUGUGCUAUUCUGUGCCUGGUCCUGAGCUGUAUUGGUAGAUUGACAUCCAGCUUGAACUUUUAGGUAUAUCUUUUGUACAUAAAUUCUGAAUACCCAUGGACUUAGCGUGAUAUAAAGUCAAGGAUCCAUUUAGCUGAGUCCUUCAAGUUUUGUUAGUAUGUCUUCGGAUUAUAAAUAUGUAACAAAAUGAGGUGUAGAAUACAUUUAAAAAGAAAAGGAUAAAAAAACAAAAGAAAUGAAAAGAGGUGUUUAGAAGUAAUAGCUAAACUAGAUACACUCUCACUAAUUAGCGAUUCUGAUGAACAGUGCCCAUAGCUUCUUUUAUACCUUGAAGUUGCAGAAAUUGAUUCUUGGUGAAUUAAGUCACUUACAGACAUAACUUUUUCUUCCAUCUAAUUUUUAUUAGGUUAGAUAGGAGAAGACUUGUUUCAGGGUGUCCUGACCCUAGUAUUAGUUUUCUUGUCAGAUUUUUCAUGAAAAUUUACAAUGCACGUGACAUACAACUUCUAGUAAUCCUAGGACUUUGUUCACAGGGUGCUUCUAUUCCUCGUUGUGGAAAUGGGACAAACCUUUUGAUACCUUUACCAGGAUCAGUUAGUGCUGAGGAUAUGGCUAUUACUGGAGCUGGUGCACGACUUCAUGAUCAAGAUGCACCAACCCUUCCACUGUUGUAUGAUUUUGAAGAAUUAGAGGGAGAAUUGGAUUUUCUUACUCGUUUUGUGGCAGUUACCUUUUAUCCUGCUAUUUCUGGAACAAGUUCCAUGACUCUUGGUGAGGUAGAAAAUAUUUUCAUAAAAUGUUAAUUGAUUUAUCUACGCACUUUAUUCUUAAAUUAGUAUUUUAGACCAUGAGCUUUGUGGAGUGGGUUUGCUGUAACUGCUGCUGGUGACAACAUAAUUGUUAAUAUUAUUACAGAUAGAGAUUCUUGGAGUUUCUCUUCCAUGGAGGGGGGUAUUCAAUAAUGAAGGCCCUGGUGCUAGAUUAAUUGAGCUUGGCAAAAAGUUUCAGAAGGAAACCGAUCCAUUUUUGUCAAAUUCAGUUACAAAUACGGUUCUGUUUUCCAAUGAAAAUGUGUCAACAUCAAUGCAAACAGAAGCUGCUUCCAAUCCUUGGGUUGACCUGUUGUCUGGAGGGGACACAUUUUCUGAUCCUCUUUCAGAGCCGUUUUCUAACCCUCUUUCUGAGCCGUUCUCUGAUCCUCUUUCUGAGUCGUUCUCUGAUCCUCUUUCUGAGCCAGUGACAAGAAAUGUUGCAUCUGGAGGGGCUGAUUUGCUUGAUUUCUUGGACCAGCCUAUAGUUGAAGAUCAUGGUGUGGAAACUUAUAAAAGAUCUUCAACACAGGAUGGCUGUUCUCUGGCUAGUGGUGCCCAGCAGUACAUAAGCUGUCUAAAAUCCCUUGCAGGGCCACGCGAGGUAUAGUACUGCUCUCUUGUGUUUUUUGCAGCUCUACAUCUUAGUAACCUCAUCUUUUUAAUGGAGUAAAUUCUAGAAGUUCAACAAAUUUUGCUUUGCUAAAUGUAUAACUUAUUAAUCAGAGUCCUGUUAUUAUGGUUUGACACUACUGACAUAUUGUGUUGGUAAUUUAUUUGUACGUCCCUUGGUUGAAUUAUUUGCUGUCUCCAUGCCAUUCGAUAUGGUGCUACUUGGUUUUUGAUCAUCCAUGACACUAUAUAUAUAUAUAUGUAAAGGAUGAAUUGAUUGUUUUGGCUUGUAUUCUCACAUUUUAUGAUUGAUCGAUGGAAAGGUCUUCCUGUAUUAAAUUCAACCUCACAAGCAUAAGAUUGACAAAUUCUGGGCAAAUUUUCAGGAAAAGAAACUAGACUUCAUGGAAGCAAUGAAGCUUGAAAUUGAACGUCUGCAGCUGAAUCUUUCUGCAGCUGAAAGGGAUAGAGCUUUAUUGUCAAUUGGAACUGAUCCUGCCUCUAUAAAUCCAAAUGUAUUGCUUGAUGAAUCUUACAUGGGAAGACUGUGUCGAGUAGCAAACACUCUUGCAUUACUUGGCCAAGCUUCCCUAGAAGACAAAAUUGUUGGUGCAAUUGGCCUUGAGAAUAGUGAUGAUAGUGUUUUAGACUUCUGGAAUAUUACUAGAAUCGGAGAGAGUUGUUCUGGUGGUGGGUGCGAGGUUCGUGCCGAAACUAAGGUGCCUGCUCUUGCUUCCUCAACUGCAACAUCUGUUGGAUCUUCACAAUCCCCUUUGUUGUGUUCUCAAUGUGAAAGAAAAGUUUGCAAAGUUUGUUGUGCAGGAAGAGGAGCUCUACUGUUUUCAAAUUAUAAAUCAAGGGAUGUGACCAACUACAAUGGCUUCUCAAGUCAGAGUGGAUCAAGCCAUGGAAGCCAAGUUGAUGUAUCUACCAGUCGUUCACUAACACUGGAUGGCGUUAUCUGUAAACACUGCUGCCAUGAGAUUGUGCUUGAUGCAUUGAUGUUGGACUAUGUUAGGGUCUUGAUUAGCUUGCGAAGAAGUUCCCGUGCAGACAACGCAGCAUACAAUGCUUUGAAUGAGGUUGUUGGAUCCUGCUUAAAGGAUAGUCUUUCUGAGAGGAUUCAGUCUUCCGAUAACGUGCAAGCAGCUGAAGUCCUUCACCAAUUAUGUGGUGGACAGGAAGCACUUGCUGAAUUUCCAUUUGCUAGCUUUUUGCACUCGGUAUGUUCUUGGUUUGUAUUCAGUUCUCAUCAUAUUAUGUUUUCCUUUUAAAUUUCUUUUCUUGAUUAAAAUUUUUAGAAAUAUGUUUUAGCAUUUAUUCUUAUGAUAUAUGCCCAGAACAUUCAUCCCACUUAUCCAUGAGAAUCCUUGUCUGGUUUGAUUUUCAAUUGAGACAUUUUUGGGAACCCUGAGCAGGUUCCAUAUGCUAAUAAUCUUUGAGGUAAGGUGUUGUAGGAUGCCUUGAGAAGCUAAAAACCUAUUACAAGUAAAAGCUCUUGCAUUGUUUUGUGCAAUCUGUGUGCGAGCAAGUCAUGUCUCUAAUAAUUUCAUAGUUUGCUUGAUUGGAAUUUUUUAUCUUGAUAUGGAUUGUUUAUUCUAGAUUCCUUGGUGCCACUGUAGGUUGAAACAGCAAAAGAUUCAGCACCGAUUUUGUCACUGCUUGCUCCAUUAAAUUCUGGAUCAAGGCACUCAUAUUGGAGAGCUCCACCUAGUAUUACUUCUGUUGAAUUUGUUAUUGUUCUCGGUUCUGUUUCUGAUGUCAGUGGGGUUAUCUUGCUUGUUAGUCCUUGCGGCUAUUCUGUGGCUGACACUCCGAUGGUAAGUGCCAUAUUUAUUCCCUUAUUUCCUUGUUGUUCAAUAAAUUUGGUGAUAAGCCAAGUGGCCUUAAUAAUGAAGCCCAGUACCAGGGGUGGUGGGUAAUAGAUAUUCAACUUGUGAAUAUUCCUAAGCAAACACUGAAUCAACAUAUACCUCGGCAAAAGUUCUCUAUGCUAUGAUAAUGGAAGUCAUAUUUUGAAAUGAUUAAAAGAGUCCCUGUGUAGUGCCAUUUCCAACGAAAUUGCAGCUGGGGGUUUAGUUUCAUGUAGGUUAGUUUCCGAUAAUAAACUUUCCAUUUCAUUAAUUGCUGAUGAAAAAACCAAGUAAGAACAGUUUUGUUGCUCAUCAUUUUUGUAUAUUUUGGUAAACUGUAAUUUUAAAUUCUCAACGAUCUUCCCUUUGUAGGUAAGAAGAUGGUCCACUCACUUGAUAUUUAUGAUUGUAGAUCAGGUUUCUAUUGGUUUGCCUUUAUCAUUUGGAACCCAUGUUUGAUAUUAACAGAGAUCACAUCAAUAAUAUCCUAUUUGGGUAGAUGUGGGUGAGGAUUUAAAAUCAAAUUUGAAAUUGAGGGGAAAGAAGAGAAAAGGAACCACAAUAAUUAAACAAAAUAAUAGGAACUAUUCUGAUGAGUUUUAAUCUCGAGAGGAACAAUUUUCAAAUGCACUGCUAGAGAAAUUGUAGCUUUUUGUCAUUAGUUAAAAGGAAAAAGAAUAAGAACUAUCCGGCCCUUUCCUUCAUGAAUGUGUGUUGAGGUUGCUGUAUUAUUUAGUCAGUAUUUGUAAUUUUCUUCCCUGCAGUGCUCUCUGCCUCCUGAAUUUGCUUCCUAUUGCUGUUACAGGUGCAAAUCUGGGCAAGCAAUAAGAUACACCGGGAGGAAAGGUCAUCAAUGGGAAAAUGGGAUGUCCAAUCCCUCACCACAUCUUCUUCAGAUUUGUAUGGUCCAGAAAAGUCUGCUAGUGUUGAAAAAUUACCUAGGCAUGUAAAAUUUACGUUUAAGAAUCCUGUUAGGUGCCGCAUUAUUUGGAUCACAUUACGUCUUCAGAGACCUGGUUCGGCUUCAGUUAAUUUCGGGAAGGACCUCAGUCUUUUGUCUCUUGAUGAAGAUGAAAACCCCUUUGCACAAGUAGACAGACGUGCUUCAUUUGGAGGAGCAGUUGAAAAUGAACCAUGUAUUCAUGCCAAAAGAAUUCUUGUAGUCGGAAGCCCAGUAAAAAGGGAGGGGCUUACCACAUCACAGAGCUCUGAGCAGCUAAGUAUUAGAAACUGGUUGGAUAGAGCUCCACAAAUGAGUAGAUUCAAGGUAUUAGUUGCUUUCACUCUUUGUUCAUUCAUAAUUCCAGCUUUCUGCUUCACUGAUAAACCUCUUUUUUCUCUUCAGGUCCCAAUUGAGGCCGAGAGAUUGAUGGACUACGAUCUCGUCUUGGAACAGUAUCUACCUCCAGUGUCACCUUCACUUGCUGGAUUCCGUCUAGACGCUUUCAGUGCAAUAAAACCUAGGGUUACCCAUUCACCUUCCUCAGAUUCAGAUAUCUGGGACAAAUCAGUAACAUUUUUAGAAGAUAGGUACAUCUCUCAAGCUGUGUUGUAUUUACAAGUAUCCGCACUCCAGGAACCACAUAACAUGGUAACUAUUGCGGAAUAUCGACUGCCGGAGGCUAGAGCCGGAACGCCAAUGUACUUUGAUUUCCCACGACCGAUACAGUCCCGACGAGUUUCAUUCAAGCUUCUUGGAGAUGUUACAGCAUUUGCAGAUGAACCUUCAGAACAAGAUGAUUCAGGAUUGAGAGCUCUACUUGUGGCCACAGGUUUGUCUUUGUCAAACAGAAUCAAGUUAUAUUAUUAUUGUGAUCCUUAUGAGCUCGGAAAAUGGGCAAGCCUUUCUGGAGUUUGAUCAUUAUUUAUAUGUCAGAGAAAGAGUUUUGGGUUUGAUUUUGAUUUUGAUUUGCAUUUUUUGUCAGUUUAUUGAAAUUUUUUCGUGGUAUAAAAUCAGAAUGUAAAGGUAUAAAAAUUCAUUGAUGCUGCAAUGUCUGCUUUUGAGAAAGAAGAAUUCAACGUCUUUUCUAUGCCAUUGUAUUUUCCACUGCUUGUAAACUUGGGCUGUCGAAUGCUCUGUGAACCUUAAGGGCUAAAGUAAUUUUCAAGACUGAAGGAUUUAUUAAUCGAGUUCAAAAGAUUGCAAGUUGGUGAGCGUUGGCAUUUAAAAAUCAAUUGUUAUUCUCUCAAUAAUCUCUCUCUUCUGCCGACACCCCAAGCUCAGAAACCCGUUGUUCCGACGGACGUGUAACACUUCUAGAAAUUAGCAUUUUCUUCUACAUGAAGGUUGGUCUCUCCUCGUGAAGUGUUUUCUUUUUUGAGUGAAGGUGGUUUUCUACUUACAUAUGUCGAGGGUCUUACGAUAUCUAAUGUGUGAAAUUUCUCUCUCAUUUUACCAUAAAGAAAAUGUUUGUAAUGAUCUGAAGCUUGAGUCUUAAAUUAUCUUAAAUUUAUAUUUAGGGUGGAGCUAUUGGCAUCCCUACAUUAUUCUUACAAAAUUCCACUUUAAAUAAAAUUACAAUUAAGAACAAUUAAAAAUUAAACACUUAUAAUUUUUUGUACAGCAAAUUACUUAAUUUAUAAUCAAUUCUUUUAAAAUAUAUAUAUAUAUUUGUUACUUCUUAUCUAACUAAAAUAAAUUGUACAAAUUUAGAAUAAUCUAUUGUUCUUUUUUGAUUUCUUAUUGAUUUAAUAUUUUUAUACUUAAAAUUACUUUGAAAUUAUAAUUUGAAAUAUGUGUUAUUUUAGCCAAUAAUUAACACUUAAAAACUUAUCACCCAUAUAACUUUUUAAUUUGUGUGUAGGGUAAUAAUAAAAUUGAAAAUAAUUAAAAAUAGCACAAUAAUGAGUUUUAACAAUAAAACAAAUCAAAUGAAUAUUUAAAAUUUUAAAAAGUAUAUCUAGAAAAAGAGGUAUUUUCGGAAAUAGUUUGCAUAUAACUAAAAAAAAGUUUUAUGAGGAGAUCAGAUGGGUGCCAAUAGUCCACCUCGUAAUUAAGAAUCUCCCAUUAUAUUGUGAACCAAAAAGACACUUGCAUAAGAAGAAGAAUUUUUCUGUUUGAUUUUAUUUGUGGAUCCAACAUUUCUCAUAUCUUGAGCGCCUUUCCGUAUCAAAUUAAAAUAGUAGUAGCAAAAUUGUAGUGCACAUUCAAUUAAUCAACUAAUAGUCUAAGAAGCAAAGAGAGGAUUACAAGUUCACAACACCAUUACAAAGGAUUCAAAAUUCCCACACGAAAACAUCAAUGUACAGAUAUAAACAAUCCUAAUUGGACACAAGAAAAACCCUUAAAUGGAUUGCUUGCCUUCCCAAUGCUACAUACCCUGCAAACUGCUUACUGGCCAAGAAAAUGUUUUCAAUUUAGUGUAUUUUCAAAAUGCUUAUUUUCUCAUAAUAUUAAAAAAAUAAAAUAAAAAAGAAUUCUUACAUGUUUCAUCAGCAUGAUUAAAAUCAAAGAAGAAAGAGAGACAUAAUGUCUCUGACAUAAUAAAAUUAUAAAAAUUUCAAGAAAAAAAAAGGUUAAAACAUGUAAGGUGGAUGAUUGAAAACAAUUGUAUGAUGGUAACCAUCAUCUUAAACAAAUAAAAUAAGGUAUGUUCAAAAGUAAUAAGGAAUACAUAGACAAAACAUCAUCUUAAACAAAUCAUAAUCUAGAAUUGGAGCAUUUUCGACAUACCUAAGGAGAAAGAAUACGUGAAAAUAGGUGAUUCAUUUGUUAAGGAGUGUUGAUUUGGUCGUCUCUGCAAAUUCUUUAGGGACUCGGUUCCAGUUCCUCUUCAUCAAAACUGUAAUAUAAUUCCCCUUCAUCAGAACUCGAAUCAAAUUCACUUGCAGCAGUUCCACUCGCGCUUGGCAAAUCAUCCAAUUUCCAAACUUCGGUACCAAAAUUGAGAGUAAAAGUGUUGGCUUUGAUCUCGCUGCGAUUUGCAUAUACCGGACAUACUCCGUAACGUUUUAUCUUGUGACCCUUUUGGUUUCGGUAACACUCAUUGAAGAACUUAAGUGAGACAGUUGUAUGAUGGUAACCAUCAGGAAAGCCAACAUUCAAGCAAGGUUUAAAACAAAGUAUGACAUGAUCUGAAUCAAGGGAGUAUUUAGAAUAGGUAGAAAAACCCAGAUCAACAUAUUUGGUUUCAGAGAGAGUCUUUAUUUCUAAGUCGGAUUGAAAGAUGACGUACCAAUCGCACUUGCAACGAGAACAAACUUUCUUAGAAUCAAGAACAGCACAAAAAGCAAACCCGAUUAAGUUUCCGCAAAAAGAUUGCGGUGGCAGUUGAAUACAUAUCGAAGAUUCUGAACUUUGAUGGCUGAACCAGUCAGGAAUUUCGCUCCCAGGUAAAACAAUUAGGGAUCCCCAGAGUUCAGAAAGUUUCUGUGAAAUGACAUUUAAAAAAAGAAAAUUGUAAAUUGAAAACCAUGAUUUCAGAUAUAACAAAGAGGGACAGAGUAAACAAGAGAGGGAAUUUGAUACCUCGUUGAUUGCCUUUUCAUAGCCCAAUCUCAGUGAUGCAAUUGCCAUAUGCCGAAUUCUUAGUCGUGAAUCUGCCAAAAUCUUGUUGUUUGCUUUUCCAUCAAGUUUCAAGCAGUUAGUAAACUCAAAACAAAUUGCUGCUGACUCCAGAGAUUGAAUAAGGUCAGGAGAGGGUUUCGAUAACUUUUCGAGUACGGAUGCAUCUAGUUCUUGUAGACAUGACGGAAUCUCUGGCAAAGAUUGAAGCCGCUUGCAGUUCCUUGCUUUUAGUGAUUGUAGACACAAUGGAAGUUCUGGUAAUGACCGAAGCAUGUUACAACCCGUCAAGUCAAGAGAUUCAAGACACAAUGGAAGUUCUGGUAAUGACUGAAGCAUCUUACAACGCUCCAAGUGAAGAGACCUCAGCCGCGACAGUUGCUUGAUACUUGCAGGUAAACUCUCAAAGUUAUUUCCACUUAGAUGCAAGCCUGUCAGUGAGGAUAGACAGGCAAUCUCUUGUGGAAUUUCCAUUACAGCACAGUUCCUUAUAUUUAGACGUCCCAAAGAAGAUAAACCUAAUAAUAAUGAUCGAGGCAAUGAUACCAAACCUUUGCAUCUAGAGAACUCAAGAAUUCUAAGUACGUUUGAAUCUGCAACAGAGGAUGGUAGUUGACUAAUAGCUGAUCCAGCUGCACAGAUGUAACGCAAAGAUUUUAAAUUGCCAAUGUUAUCCGGCAACUUAUCAAGUUUAGAGCAAUCUUCUACGAACAAUACUUCAAGUCCCGGUAGAUUUUCAAAUGACGAUGGCAGCUCUGUAAUUGCCGUAUGGCCUAAAUAGAUGCGUUUUAAAUGUUCCAUUUUCUCCAAGAUUUCUGGGAAACGCUCAAGGUUCACGCAGCCAUUAAGAAAAAGAUCAACCAACGAUCUCAAUUUACAAAACCCAGUUGAAAUCAUCUUCAGCCGUUUGCAAUCCCUCAAAUCCAACACUAUAAGAUCAGUUAGGCACUCUAUUGAUGAUGGAACUUCUUCUAUUGCAGACUGGAUUAAGUAUAGCCGUGUAAUUUUCCCAGAAAUCUGUGGAAACUCUACGAGAUUAACACAAUAGGAGAAAUUAAUAGUUACUGGACAAACAAAAUGAAGAUUGGUUGGAAAAGACCUAAGACUUUUGCAGCCCAUAAAAUCCAACCUACUGAGAUACUUGAAAUUCUGGAUAGAUGAGGGAACACAAGCCUUUUCUCCUUCCCAAAGUUGCUCAACUUUACUUAAACGCAAAUUCAGUUGAACGAGGUUCUUUGGCUUGAAAUUUGAUGGCAGUGUCCUUAAUGGAUAUGUGUCCCAAUGAAGAUAUCUCAAUUUUUUAGGAAGAUAAUCUAGACCAUUUGGAAGCUGCACUUUAGAGUAUGAAAGUUGCUCUUCAAUGAUCAUACUUAGAAACCUUUCAAUCCCAUAAAACUUAGGUACAUAAAAUUUGAGCAAUCUCAUACUAGACAUAUUUGUGAAGGUUCCGGGGUCUAAAUUAAUGCCUUUUAUUUUGGACAAAUCCAGAAAUAUGCCUUCAAUUGCAUCGGUCCCCUUAUUAAAAAAAAAACAAAGAAUGAGUAAUCCUAAAACAGAAAAGAAACAUUCGUAAACUUUAUUAACUAAGAGCUCCUUAAACAAAAACAAAUUCUGCAAUCUUUGAUUUUAUUUUUUUAAUAUAUUAAAUAUCUAUAUGCGAGAAAAGAAAAUUUUGGGGGCCAUUGCAAAAUUAAACUAACCGAAAAAAAAAAUUCAAAAUUUCUCUAAUUUACAAACCUGUUAUCUUAAUAUCUAGAAGUUGAGAAGACAAGGCCUAUUUGAUUGGUAUAAGAUUUCAAUUUUUUUUUUUUUUUUUUUUUUUUUUUGUCGAUAGAAUCCAAAAUGUUAGUUCAAAAUUAGGGAAAAAAAUGAAAGUCAUUUUUUUUUCCACUAGCUGUAAUUGUAUCCAAGUCAAAUUGAGAUACAACCCUUUUUGAAAGAAUUUAACCAUCUUACAACCUCCUUAAGGUACAUUUAAGAUAAAAGGAGUGAUUGGAGGCAGAACUAGGUGGGCCAAUCAGUCCAUUUUAUUAGCGACUGUUGCUUAAAAAAAAUUAUACUCUAAAACACACUUACAUUUUUGAAAAAAUAUAUAAUUAUAUUGAAGUAGAACCAGGUGGGCCAACCCUCAUGGCACUCACUUUGUUCUGACACUUUUCACUAAAUUUGAAGAAAAAUAAAAUUAUACUCUUCACACUCUUAUUCAACAUUCCAAAUUUGAUAAAAUCGGGAGUUUUCUUUAAAAAUUUAAAAUUUGAAGACUUGUUCUCUUGACACCCUCAGUCAUUAAUUUUACCUAAUUAUGGGUUUUAUGAUUUUGGUUGUUUUGUUCAUAAAAAUGCUUUUACUAAAGGAUGUUCUGGUAAUAAUAAAAUUUAUAAAAAAAACAUGGGUGUGCUGGUAUGGUUGGAAAAAUAUGAGUGCAUAACUCCAAACAAAUAAAAGAUAUAUAUAAAAAAAAAUGGAGGAUUCUUACCUUAUUAUGCUUGAGUACGCGGCGGAUUUCCUUAGGAUCCCACAACCUGCUGCGUUUGCCUGGCUCUUUCUCAGAUUCUUGGCGAACAAUCCGUCGCCCCAUUUCUUGCAAUAAAAUCAUGCAUUUGCAAGCAAUUCCCUGAUACUGAUAUGAGUGACUUAUCAAUAAGGACAUUCACGUCAUUCAGUCCAUAAGACUUAGAAUCAUCAAGUAUCCUUAUCACAAAAUCUUUAUCCUCUCCCUCAAAGAAACAAGCAAUAUCUAGAAAUACACUCUUGACAUUGGGCGUUAAUUCAUUAAAACUAAUCUUUAAUAUAUCAUACAUAUUAUGAAUAUCAGAUUCACAAAUCCGAUUUAAGUCGUCCAAUACGUUUCCCCAAUGGCUUUUCCUCUUGAGGGAGGAACCCAACACUUUAAGAACUAAUGGAUUGCCAUCAGCAUACUUUACAACUCUCCGUGACUCACGUUUGAAAUCUUCAGGACAAUGCUUUUCUUUAAAAGCGAAGUUACAAAAAUGCUCGAAAGCCUCAUCAAAUUUCAAUCCAUUAACCCUAUAUAUUUUCUCCACUGGAAACGUCUCGAGGACAUGUUUAUUCCUAGUGGUGAUGACAAUUCUACUUCCUGGACCAUACUGAUCAAGCCCUCCAAUCAAACCCUCUAAUUGUCCAUCUUUACUCACAUCAUCAAGCACAAUCAACACCUUCAUGCGUCGGACCCUCUCUUUAGUAAAUUGUGGAAUAUUGGGACCAUCUACUUUAAGUUUUUCUCUUAAUAUCCUUGAAAGAAUUUGCUUUUGUAGAUCUUCUAAUCCAUCCCCUCGUUCUAUAUUUCUCCUAACAUCUGACAUAAAGCACCUACCUUCAAACUCUCUGGAGAAUUGAUUGAAAAUAGCUGUGGCAAGGGUGGUUUUGCCUAUACCACCCAUGCCCCAAAUUCCAACAAUUUGGACAGUAUCCCACAAAUCCAUGCACAGAAAUGGUUUAAUCUGCUCAAUUCGUGAAUUUAAUCCAACUAGGCCAUUGGAUGAGUCCGUUGAGACUGUUAUUUUUUCCAUCUUCUUCAAAACAUCUUCGACAAUUUUGCUUACAAGUUGCGCAUCAUGCCUAAUAUGAAGGUGCAAAGAUGCAAAAACAUUGAGUCAAAUCGGGCCAACACAGAAACAGAGAUAAGAUGAAUUAGGAAAGAGAGUUACCUGAAUUUCGUGGAUUCGUGGCCAGCUAGAUGGGAUGUUUCUUUCAGUGCAUCCCUCCACUUCUGAACCAUUUCUGGCUUCUCUUUGAACUGUUGUUCGAGCUUAUCAAAACCGUGCCCAAAAAUUCCAGCUUGAUGCCGAACAUCGGACGGACUUACGCUAUAGAAAACUGGAAUAACGAUUUGGCCGUUUGUGUGCUUGCAUUCAAGAAUCUUGACAAGUUCAUUCAGGCACCAUUUUGAAGAAGCGUAGUCCUUUGAGAAAAUGACGACCGAAAUUUUCGAACCUUCGAUUGCGUUCAAAAGAGCAGGUGAAAUCUCAUCUCCUCGCCUAAGCUCUUCAUCAUCAAUAAACGUUUUGAUUUUCGUUCUUUCAUUCAAAUUAUAAUAGAGAUGGCAUGUAAAGCUCACGCGAGUGUCCUCUCCUCUGAAACUGAGGAAUACAUCAUAAUUGCAACAAGAAGAAGAGGAAGCCAUGAAGGAAAUUUUAGAAAUUUGGUGACAGAAACAGAGAAUUAAUCUUGAGAGUUGAGAGGGGAUAUGUAAGAAUGAAAAUGCGUAAAUAGUAAAUGAUUGAAUUAAUCUGGCGAGUAAAUAGUAAAUAAUUGAAUGGCCGGAGCUUUCUUAGUUUCCUGGAAAUUUCCUGGAGCUUUCGUAUACAUGAUUUGUCAAGUCAAGAAACAUAAUCAUGAUAAUGGGGCAGACCAGGAAGGAAAGAAAAUUUGAUCCAACCAAUAAAGGAAGGAAAAGUAAAGAAAGAAAAUUUGAAAGUAGAUUCAGAGAAUUAUAAAAAGCUAAAGGAUAUUGGAAUUUUGUACAAUUUCUCUAUUACAGUUUGGAUUAAGAUUUGAGCAAGCGGCCAAAACUACAUUGCGUCAGGGCUUUGGUGCCACACUCGUUUGUCUGUUAGUAGCAUUGGAUUUGAUCUGACGGCUGCAGAAGAGACACAAACAUAAAGAGGAGUAACCUGAGGAAAAGGUAAUAAGCCGGUUACCUGCAGAAAAUAAGUGCAUGAUAAAAUAACACAAGUAAUGAACACAAUGGAAGCGUAUAUGCAAGUAAUGGUUGGAAACAACUUGCUGGAAGCGUGCAAGUAUUGGUUGGGCACAGACCGACAUUAAAUUUCGCAAAUAGUGUCUGAAACAUUUGCAAAUACUUAAUUCAAAACGUCAAUAAAUGCUGGAAAAAAUACAUAUUUUUUUAUUUUUUAUUAAGAAUACAUUUAAAAAAAGAAUAAUUAUUAAUGGUACAUAUUUGUAACAAUUAUACCAAAAACAAUUAUCCAUAUAUUUAAAAAAAAUGUUAACAAUACAUAUUUUUUAGAAGUAUACAUAUUAUAUCAUAAAAAAAUUGAGUUGGAGCUUCGACAAGUAGAUCUUAAAAAACUAAGGUUGAAUUUUGGAGGAGCAGAUUCGGUCGUGGAGUAACAUUUGUUUAUUAUUAUUAAUUUAUUUUGGUAGUCCUAGUGAAACAUCGUUGUUUCACAUAGAUGAUGUCGCAGUUUGAUAGACGGGAUGACAUGUGAUUUUUUAUCAAAUAUAUCGGGCCACAUGGCAUUUUUGACUAGGUGAAUGGAGUGACAUGUUAAUUUUUUUUUUUUUUAAUCAAAGGUUCUUCUAUCUUAGAAGACUAGAUUAGCCUUAUGAUGUCAAGACUUGGAAACGACAACUAACUGACUAGUGGAUAGCAGACACAUGUUGUCAACUUAGGGUAUACAAGGAUACAUGUUAAAAGUAUUGUAGUAUAUGUGAUACAAGUGUCAUGGAAGGCUAUAUGAGUGAUAAUUACUCAUUAAACUAUAAGUUGCAAUAAUUUAACACAACAAGUGCCAAUUAAAAUGUAAUAAUUUAAAAAAAAUUAGGUAUUCUCCGUCUGUCUCCCUCUCAAUCAAUGUGUCCUACUUUGAAUGUUAAUAUUUAUUAUCAAACAUAAAAAAAUUCUAAAAUAUUAAAAAAAAAAAACAGAGUCUUCUAGGCACAUAAAUUAGAGUAGUUUCGUGAACAAAGAACUUGAGAAAGAUAAUGGUGGCACUCUCUUAGAAGGAAUCUAUGGGGUUAAUGUUUUCUUCCCUAUGUCUAUUUUAUGUAUCUUAGUUUCAAAAACAAGAUGUACACAAUUAGGGGUUGGUUAAUGCAGUUAAAACGGUGGAAAAAGGCUUAUAGAAAUAAAAUAUAAUUGUAAUGCAGUGUUUGGUAUGAAUAAGUAAACUAAAAAUAAGACAAUUGGGUAUACGAAUUUAUAAUGCGAUAAUAAUAUUUUUUCCCUAAGACGACCCGUAGGGUAAGAUUAUAGACUAAAUUGUUGUGUUAUGUUAAUGAUACGAUAUAAAAGUGUUGUUUUAGAAGCUGUAAAAGUUAGUUAAUGUGAAAUUUGUUUUUAAAGGUAAUUGUCUUGUAACCCCUUGUUUUUAAGGGUAAGAUUAUAGACGCAAUUUGUUUGUUUUGAAAAAAAGUCCCUUAUGUUGAGCUGGACUUUUUUUCGUCUUCACAAGUCCCUUUUGCCGAGCUGGAAUUUUUCUGACAGAGUCUCCGUUUGUUCCCAUAAUAGCGGCGAGAAUCUGGCCGAGCCUCGAUGAUAGCUCGUUGCUACGACACGUGACUGUGUCCAUUGAGUCUCUAUUCGAAAUCCAAAUGUCGACGACAACGGCCGCCUCCACUAACGGUUCUCAAAUCACGCCGUGCGUUGAUGACGUGGCGGUGGCAAUUAACAACAAUAACUUCAACUCGAAGGAGAGAUUCAACGACCGUGAUUUUUUGUUGAAGCAGUCGUAUUCGUUUGGAUUCGAGCGGAGUCUUGCAUCGAAGAGGAUGGUGAUGGAGGCGGUAAUGGCGUUGCCGUGGAAGUACAAGAGGGGGAGUUACUGGAGCAAACAGUCGUCUCCGUUUGGCUCAUUGACGAAGUCUAGAGUCUUCUGGAGCAAAGGAUUAUAUACUUAUCCUCUUUGUUUUCCUUUUACUGAUACUGUAGCUUUAGCCGAUUACCCAUUUUCCAAGUGUUAAACAUGAGCCGUUGUUACCUUUCUUUACUAUCUAAAUGGUCAUUCGCAAAAGGACAAAUGACUAGGGUAUCAAACCCCUUACGCAAUGUAGCUGGACCCUUAGCAAAGCAUUCACCUAAAUCUUACCUCCGCUGUAAAUUCUUAAGUUUUGAAAAUUAUGAGACCUUUAUAUUGGGAGAUAUUAUAAUCAAAUGAAAAGUUAAAAUUUUAAUAUUGUUAAUAAAUGACAAAGCCAUUUCAUUUCUCUUUUACAUGUUAUUAAUUUUUGUAACACGGGGUGGCAACAUAAGCAUAAUCAAGUAAAGCAAAAGGGUUUCAAAUUAUGGUGGUAAAACGUGAAGAAGGAUGCCAACUGAAUAAUUCCUUCCACAAAACGAAAAAUAAUCACAGAAAAAGGAAUCUCUUAUAAAAUGUUUGCGUAUUUUUUAUAAGGUUUGAAACUUUAGGUGGUCGGUAAAUGAUUUCUUAAUUGAAUAAUAUAUAAAAAAGCUAAUUAUUUAUAAUUUUAAAUAAUCUGAAUUUGUAUGUUAGAAAUUUCAUCUCUUUUAUUUUUGAGAAUUUUUCAUAAAGAAUAGAGAACAUAAUGUUAACAUUUAAAGUAACACAUCUCAAUCGUCGAAAUUAUUUUUCUAUUAAAUCCAACGAUAACGAAUUAAUGUCAGAAAAGGACAAAAUUAGUGGUGGCUUGCAAUAAUUGCAAGGUAGCUUUUGUAAAGACAGAAAUGUGAUGGAUUCAAAAAGAAAUUGAAGUGAUAAUGUACGUGGAUCCUUAAAAUAAAAAGCCGAAUCGCUUGGUGGCCCAGUAAAAUUACGAUUUGAAUUUUUUUUUUUUUUUUUUUUACACAAUGUGUCAAGCACAUAAAUGACGAAAGCCAUUUCAUUUCCCUUUCACACGUCAUUAACUUUUGUAACACGGUGUGUUCAUCGUCAAGUGAGGCAAAAGGGUUUCCAUUACAGUGGGAAAACAUGAACAAGAAUGCAUAAUGAAUAAUUCCUUCGAUAAAGCGAAAAUUAAACAUAAAAUAAUCCUAAAAUUUAAACUCUAAUAUCCUUCGAUAAUGUAUUGAUUAAAAAUAAUCCUAAGAGUUUCCAAUUGAAACUUCCGUAAGUAUUUUUAUUGUUUUGGAUAAACAAAUUGCACUAGGAUAAAAAUUUGGUAAAUUCAGAGGAUAAUAGAAAAUAGCUAUGGUUCAAUAGGCCAAAGAUUAGAGAACAAACAAGAAUUAGUUAUUGAUAUACAAAAGAGAAACACUCCAAAAUUUCAAGCAAAAAUAGUUUCAUAUACCAUUUCGAUUUUGGAAGGGGUGAGGUUUUGAAAUUCAAUAGUUUCCUCUAAAAUCAAAAGGCAGCAAUUAAGUUAGAAAGAGCAAAGAAGACUUAUUGGUACCUUAUUGAAGCUGAACAUUAUGGAACUUUCAAUGUCAUUACCUCACUGUUCAAUUUUUAUUGAGAUUUGUGCAAGCAUUUACCUAAAUUUUACCUCCGCCUGUAAAUUCAUAAGUUUUGAAAAUUUUGAGACGUUAUAUUGGGAGAUAUUAUAAUCGAACUAAAACUUAAAAUUUCAAUAUUAUUAUUCUUUGAAAAAAAAAUGAGAUAUCAGAGUAAUAUCACAUAGAAUGGUAAGCCAAAAGUCUAAUCAACCACAUGCAUAAAGCUAACUAGAACAAGUGAACAGAGAAACGCGUGGGUCCCUAAAAGAAAAGGCAAGCACAUAAAGAAAACGGAAAACAAACGCCAGAGAAAAGAAUUUCUUAUAUGCCUUGAUAUUGAUUAAUAUUCAGCGAUAGCUUAAUGCUUACCAUCAAGCAACUUUGAAAGCAGGAAGCUAUAUAUGACAAGAAAUCAAAGUAAUGUGAAGGAACAUGAUGAUGAAAUUGCAGGCCAGCACAAAAACACCCAUACCCCUGAUUUGUUUAAAUGUACACGAAGACCUUAAGGUUUGGUAAAAGAAAAUUGAAUUUAUAUUGUAUUAUAAUACAAUUUUUUUUAAACCAUCAAUGAUAAAAUCUUCUUACUUUUUUCCAUCCUUUGGAUCAAUAAGUACAAAUUUCUCAUCUAAAUCUUCAUACUUUUUACAAAUGACUUUUGUGCCAUAGAUUUUUUUUUUCUUUUUUUGGUUUUGCCGAAAAAACAAAACAAAUUCAUAAACAACAUUGUAUUUCACCAAUUAACAGUGCAAGUGUCAUUAUAGUUUCCACAUUUUAGUUCUGUUUUUUUUAGUUUCAUUUUCUUUCUGUUAUGUAACUGAUGUUUCAUUGCUAUAAAAUUAAUUGUCUGUUUCUCUUCACAACUGUUAUUUUGAAUGAUUUUUUCUGAAUUUUAUAAACAAUUUGUAUAUGACAGGAAAUGAAGCAGAGUGCGAGCAACUUGUAUGGAUUCCUAAAAGGUCUGGUCAGAGUGUUCCUUUCAAUGCAUACAUCUGGCGGCGAGGGACUAUUCCAAUAUGGUGGGGUGCAGAAUUAAAGCUUACUGCUGCUGAAGCAGAAAUUUAUGUUGCAGAUCGGGAUCCUUAUAAAGGAAGUCUGCAGUAUUAUCAGAGGUUGAGUAAUCGAUAUGAUGCUCGAAACUUUGACUUAGCUGUUGGGGAAAAUCAGAAGAAAAAGCCUUUUAUUCCAAUUGUAUGCAUUAACUUGCUUAGGAAUGCGGAAGGGAAAUCAGAAUCUAUUUUAGUUCAGCAUUUUGAGGAAUCUUUGAACUAUGUCAGAUCAACUGGAAAACUUCCUUAUACUCGAAUUAUUUUAAUAAAUUAUGACUGGCAUGCCAGUACAAAAUUAAAAGGUGAACAACUUACAAUUGAAGGAUUAUGGAAGCAUCUAAAAGCACCCACUCAGGCCGUAGGCAUUUCUGAAGGGGACUAUUUGCCAUCACGGCAACGACUUAAUGAUUGCCGAGGUGAAGUCAUCUGCAAUGAUGACUUUGUGGGUGCCUUUUGCUUAAGAUCCCAUCAGAAUGGAGUGAUACGCUUUAACUGUGCAGACUCUCUUGAUCGGACCAAUGCUGCUAGUUAUUUUGGUGCUCUGCAAGUAUUUGUGGAGCAAUGUAGGCGGCUUGGGGUCUCCCUUGACAGUGAUUUUGCAUAUGGCUAUCAGUCAGCUAAUAACUAUGGUGGAUAUACUGCUCCUUUGCCACGAGGAUGGGAGAAACGAGCUGAUGCAGUGACAGGAAAAACAUAUUAUAUCGAUCACAACACUAGGACCACAACAUGGAUUCAUCCAUGCCCAGACAAACCUUGGAAGAGAUUUGAUAUGACAUUUGAGGAGUUCAAGCAUUCAACAAUUUUAUCACCAGUGUCUCAGCUAGCAGAUCUUUUUCUGCUUUCUGGUGAUAUCCAUGCAACCCUUUAUACUGGUUCAAAAGCAAUGCAUAGCCAAAUUCUUAAUAUAUUCAAUGAAGAACCAGGAAAGUUCAAACAAUUUUCUGCAGCACAAAAUAUGAAAAUUACUCUGCAGAGAAGAUACAAAAAUGCAGUUGUCGAUAGCUCUCGUCAGAAACAGCUGGAGAUGUUUCUUGGAUUUAGGCUGUUCAGUUCAUUUUUUUGUGGUAGAAAUGUCGUCAUUUUAAAUUUAGUGUAUUUUCAAAAAGCUUAUUUUCUCAGAAUAUAAAAAAUAAAAAAAUAAAAAAAGAAUUCUUACAUGUUUCAUCAGCAUGAUUAAAAUCGAAGAAGAAAGCGAGACAUAAUGUCUCUGACAUAAUAAAAUUACAAAAAUUUCAAGGAAAAAAAAGAAGUUAAAACAUGUAAUCUUCAGAAGCAUAUAAUAAAAGAGCACUUCCACAAAUUACUACAAUUUCAUGCAGUAGAGAUUGAAGAGUUGAAUUCCACUUAUAGACACCGACCUCUUGUUUUGUCUAAUGUUAAAAUUACAACCUCUUGCUUUGACUUAUUAGCAGGUUUCAAAAGUAAUAAGGAAUACAUAGAUAAAACAUCAUCUUAAACAAAUCACAAUCUAGAAUUAGAGCAUUUUCGACAUACCUAAGGACCACGAAUACGUGAAAACGGGUGACUCAUUUGUUAAGAAGUGUUGAUUUGAUCGGCUCUGCAAAUUCUCUUGGGACUCGGUUCCAAUUCCUCUUCAUCCGAAGUUCCACUCGCGCUUGGAAAAUCAUCCAAUUUCCAAACUUCGGUAGCAAAAUUGAGAGUAAAAGUGUUGGCUUUGAUCUCGCUGGGAUUUGCAUAUACUGGACAUACUCCGUAACGUUUUAUCUUGCAAUCCUUUUGGCUUCGGUAACACUUAUUGAAGAACUUAAGUGAGACAGUUGUAUGAUGGUAACCAUCGGGAAAGCCAACAUUCAAGCAAGGUUUAAAACCAAGUAUGACAUGAUCGGAAUCAAGGGAGUAUCUAGUGGGCAAAUCGAAACCCAGAUCAACAUGUUUGGUUUCAGAGAGAGUCUUUAUUUCUAAGUCGAAUUGACGGUAGAAGUAAAAAUCACACAUACAACGAGAAUAAACUUUCUUAAAAUCAAGAACAGCACAAAAAGCAAACCCGAUUAAGUUUCUGAAAAAAGAGUGCGGUGGCAGUUGAAUAUAUAUCGAAGAUCCUGAACUUUGAUUGCUGAACCAGUCAGGAAUUUCGCCCCCAGGUAAAACAAUUAGGGAUCCCCUGAGUUCUGAAAGUUUCUGUGAAAUGACAUUUAAAAAAAGAAAAUUGUAAAAUGAAAACCAUGAUUUCAGAUAGGGAUAUUAUCAUUUUUCCACCAAAGGUAUUCUGACACAUCAUGUCAGUACCACGGUUUGGUAAAACUAUCAAUUUACCACCAAACGUUUAAACUGUUAGGAUUUUCCCACUAUUCCGUUAAAACUCAGUUAAUAUGUAACGGAAAAUUUCUAAAAAGUCAAUUUUACCCCUGGAGCAUAAAAGACCAUAUAAUUAACUUUUUAUGAAUUUUGUAAUUAAAUCAUCAUUUGUUGUUCUUCCUUCUUAAAGGACAAAAAUUACCCUUUAUAAAUUUUAUAAAAUUGGCCGUGUAGUGCUAGGUACUUCAUAAAUUAAUUUAAUUUUUAAAGGGCAAAUUUAUUUAUUAAAUUGAUGAGCUCAAGACAAUUUAUUCUACUACUAAAAAUCAAUUUAUGAAAGGGAAAAAAAAAAGAAUGUGCAAACGAAGUAAUUUAAUCUUUGAUAUGAUGAUAAUAAUUUUACACAAAAAAUUAAAUAAAUAAAUUUUCCCUUUAAAAAUUAAAUAAAUUAAAUCAAUUUAUGAAGUACCAAAUACCACACGGUCAAUUUUACAAAAUUCAUAAAUGGUAAUUUUUGUCGUUUAAGAAUAAAGAAUAACAAAUGAUGAUUUAAUUACAAAAUUCAUAAAAGGUUAAUUAUAUGGUCUUUUAUGCUCAGGGGUAAAAUUGACCUUUUAGGAAUUUUCCGUUAGAUAUUAACUGAGUUUUAACGGAAUGGUGGGAAAAUGCUAACAGUUUAAACGUUUGGUGGUAAAUUGAUAGUUUUACCAAACCGUGGUACUGACAUGAUGUGUCAGAAUACCUUAGGUGGGAAAAUGAUAAUAUCCCUUUCAGAUAUAACAAAGAGGGACAGAGUAAACAAGAGAGGGAAUUUGAUACCUCGUUGAUUGCCUUUUCAUAGCCCAGUCUCAGUGAUGCAAUUGCCAUAUGCCGAAUUCUUAGUUGUGAAUCUGCCAAAAUCUUGUUGUUUGCUUUUCCAUUCAGUUUCAAGCAGUUAGUAAACCCAAAAUAAAUUGGUUGUGACUCCAGACAUCCCGGUGCCCAUUGACGAAGGUCAGGAGAGGGUUUCGAUAGCUUUUCGAGUACGGAUGCAUCUAGUUCUUGUAGACAUGACGGAAUCUCUGGCAAAGAUUGGAGCCGGUUGCAGUUCCUUGCAUUUAGUGAUUGUAGACACAAUGAAAGUUCUGGUAAUGACCGAAGCAUGUUACAAUCCUCCAAGUUAAGAUAUUUUAGACACAAUGGAAGUUCUGGUAUUGACCGAAGCAUGUUACAACCCGUCAAGGCAAGAGAUUCUAGACACAAUGGAAGUGCUGGUAAUGACUGAAGCAUCUUACAAUCCGUCAAGUCAAGAGAUGUUAGGCACAAUGGAAGUUCUGGUAAUGACUGAAGCAUCUUACAAUUCUUCAAGUCAAGAGAACUCAACUGCGACAGUUGCUUGAUACUUGCAGGUAAACUCUCAAAGUUAUUUCCACUUAGAUGCAAGCCUGUCAGUGAGGAUAGACAGGCAAUCUCUUGUGGAAUUUCCAUUACAGCACAGUCACUUAUAUCUAGAAGUCCCAAAGAAGAUAAACCUAAUAAUAAUGAUCGAGGCAAUGAUGCCAAACCUUUGCAGCUAGAGAAAGAAAGAAUUCCAAGUACGUUUGAAUCUGUAACAGAGGAUGGUAGUUGACUAAUAGCUGAUUUAGCUGCUGAGAUGUAAUACAAAGAUUCUAAAUUGCCAAUGUUAUCCGGCAACUUAUCAAGUUUAGAGCAACCAUUUAUGAACAAUGAUUCAAGCCCCGGUAGAUUUUCAAAUGACGAUGGCAGCUCUGUAAUUGCCGUCCGGUCUAAAUAGAUGCGUUUUAAAUGUUCCAUUUUCUCCAAGAUUUCUGGGAAACGCUCAAGAUUCAAGCAGCCAAGAAGAAUAAGCCGAACCAAAGAUCUCAAUUUACAAAACCUAGUUGAAAUCCUCUUCAGCCGUUUGCAACCCAUCAAAUCCAACACUUCAAGAUCAGUUAGGCACUCUAUUGAUGAUGGAACUUCUUCUAUUGCAGACUGGUCUAAGUAUAGCCGUGUAAUUUUCCCAGAAAUCUGUGGAAACUCUAUGAGAUUAACACAAGAGGAGAAAUUAAUAGUUACUGGACAAACAAAAUGAAGAUUGCUUGGAAAAGACCUAAGACUUUUGCAGCCCUUAAAAGACAACGCACUGAGAAACUUGAAAUUCUGGAUAGAUGAGGGAACACAAGCCUUUUCUCCUUCCCAAGGUUGCUCAACUUUACUAAAACGCAAAUUCAGUUCAACAAGGUUCUUUGGCUUGAAAUUUGAUGGCAGUGUCCUUAAUGGAUAUGUGUCCCAAUGAAGAUAUCUCAAUUUUUUAGGAAGAUAAUAUAGGCCUUUUGGAAGCUGCACUUUAGAGUAUGAAAGUUGCUCUUCAAUACUCAUACUUAGAAGCUUUUCAAUCCCAUAAAACUUAGGUACAUAAAAUUUGAGCAAUCUCAUAUUAGACAUAUUUGUGAAGGCUCCGGGGUCUAAAUUGAUGCCUUUUAUUUUGGACAAAUCCAAAAAUAUGCCUUCAAUUGCAUCAAUCCCCUUAUAUAAAAAAAAAAAAAACAAAGAAUGGGUAAGCUUAAAACUCAAAAGAAACAUUCGUAAACUUUACUAAGAGCUCCUUAAACAAAAACAAAUUCUGCAAUCUUUGAUUUAAUUUUUUUAAUAUAUUAAAUAUCUAUAUGUGAGAAAAGAAAAUUUUGGGGACCAUUGCAAAAUUCAACUAACUGAAAAAAAAAAUUCAAAAUUUCUCUAAUUUACAAACCUGUUAUCUUAAUAUCUAGAAGUUGAGAAGACAGGGCCUAUUUGAUUGGUAUAAGAUUUCGAUUUUUUUUUAGUCCAUAGAAUCCAAAAUGUUAGUUCAAAAUUAGGGAAAAAAGUCAUUUUUUUCCACCAACUGUAAUUGUAUCCAAGUCAAAUUGAGAUACGACCCUUUUCGAAAGGAUUUAACCAUCUUAUAGCCUCCUUAAGGUACAUUUAAGCUAAAAGGAGUGAUUGGAGGCAGUUCUAGGUGGGCCAAUCAGUCCAUUUUAUUAGUGACGUUUGCUUAAAAAAAAAAAUUAUACUCUAAAACACACUUUUUUUUUUUUAAAAAAAUAUAAUUAUAUUGAAGUAAAACCCGGUGGGCCAAUCCUCAUGGCACUCACUUUGUUCCGACACUCUUCACUAAAUUUGAAGAAAAAUAAAAUUAUACUCUUCACACUCUUAAUCAACAUUCCAAAAUUGAUUAAAUCUGGAGUUUUCUUUAAAAAUUUAAAAUUUGAAGAUUUGUUGUCUUGACACCCUCAGUCAUUAAUUUUACCUAAUUAUGGUUUUUAUGAUUUUGAUUGUUUUGUUCAUAAAAAUGCUUUUACUAAAGGAUGUUCUGGUAAUAAUAAAAUUUAUAAAAAACACAUGGGUGUGCUGGUAUGGUUGGAAAAAUAUGAGUGCAUAACUCCAAACAAAUAAAAGAUAUAUAAAAAAAAGAUGGAGGAUUCUUACCUUAUUAUGCUUUAGUACGCGGCGGAUUUCCUUAGGAUCCCACAACCUACUGCGUCUGCCUGGCUCUUCCUCAGAUUCUUGGCGAACAAUCUCUCGACCCAUUUCUUGCAAUAAAUCAUGCAUUUGCAAGCAGUUAUUUGACACUGUUAUGAGUGACUUGUCCACGAGGGCAUCUAGUUUGUGAGACCCAGAAUCAUCAAGUAUCCUCGACACAAAAUCUUUAUCCUCUCCCUCAAGGAAACACGCAAUAUCUAGAAACAUACUCUUCUGCUUGCGUGUUAAUUCAUUAAAACUAAUCUUUAAUAUAUCAUAAAUAUUAUGAAUAUCAGAUUCACAAAUCCGAUUUAAGUCGUUCAAUACAUUUUCCCAACGGCUUUUAUCCUUGAGGGAGGAACCCAACACUUUAAGAACUAAUGGAUUGCCAUCGGCAUACUCUACAACCCUCUGUGAGUGCCAGUUGAGAUCUUCAGCACAAUGCUUUUCUUUAAAAGCGAAGUUACAAAAAUGCUCGAAAGCCUCAUCAAAUUUCAAUCCAUUGACCCUAUAUAUUUUCUCCACUCCAAAUUUUUCGAGGACUCGUUUAUCCCUAGUGGUUACAACAAUUCUACUUCCUGGACCAUAUUGAUCAAGCCCUCCAAUCAAACCCUCUAAUUGUUCAUCUUUAUUCACAUCAUCAAGUGCAAUCAACACCUUCAUGCGUCGGAGCCUCCCUUUAGUAAAUUGUGGAAUGUUGGGACCAUCUACUUCAAGUUUUUCACUUAAUAUUGUCGAAAGCAUUUCCUUUUGUAGCUCUUCUAGGCCACCCCCUGUUUCUGAUUUUCUCCUAACAUUUUUUGCAAAGUAUUUUCCAUCAAACUCACCAGAGAAUUGAUCGAAAAUAGCUUCAGCAAGGGUGGUUUUGCCUAUACCACCCAUGCCCCAAAUUCCAACAAUUUGGACAGUAUCCCACAAAUCCAUGCACAGCAAUGGUUUAAUCUGCUCAAUUCGUGAAUUUAAUCCAACCAGGCCAUUGGAUGAGUCCGUUGAGACUGUUAUUUUUUCCAACUUCUUCAAAACAUCUUCGACAAUUUUGUUUACAAGUUGCGCAUCAUGCCUAAUAUGAAGGUGCAAAGAUGCAAAAACAUUGAGUCAAAUCGGGCCAACACAGAAACAGAGAUAAGAUGAAUUAGGAAAGAGAGUUACCUGAAUUUUGUGGAUUCGUGGCCAGCUAGAUGGGAUGUUUCUUUCAGUGCAUCCCUCCACUUUUGAACCAUUUCUGGUUUCUCUUUGAGCUGCUGUUCUAGCUUGUAAAAACCGUCCCCAAAAACUCCGGUUUGAUGCCGCACAUCAGAUGGACUUACUUCAUAGAAGACUGGAAUAAUAAUUUGGCCGUUUGUGUUCUUGCAUUCAAGAAUCUUGACAAGUUCAUUUAGGCACCAUUUUGAAGAAGCGUAGUCCUUUGAGAAAAUGACCACCGAAAUUUUUGAACCUUCGAUUGCGUUCAAAAGAGCAGGUGAAAUCUCAUCUCCUCGCCUAAGCUCUUCAUCAUCAAUAAACGUUUUGAUUUUCGUUCUUUCAUUCAAAUUAUAAUAGAGAUGGCAUGUAAAGCUCACGCGAGUGUCCUCUCCUCUGAAACUGAGGAAUACAUCAUAAUUGCAACAAGAAGAAGAGGAAGCCAUGAAGGAAAUUUUAGAAAUUUGGUGACAGAAACAGAGAAUUAAUCUUGAGAGUUGAGAGGGGAUAUGUAAGAAUGAAAAUGCGUAAAUAGUAAAUAAUUGAAUUAAUCUGGCGAGUACAUAGUAAAUAAUUGAAUGGCCGGGGCUUUCUUAGUUUCCUGGAAAUUUCCUGGAGCUUUCGUAUACAUGAUUUGUCAAGUCAAGAAACAUAAUCAUGAUAGGAAAUGGGGCAGACCAGGUAGGAAAGAAAAUUUGAUCCAACCAAUAAAGGAAGGAAAAGUAAAGAAAGAAAAUUUGAAAGUAGAUUCAGAGAAUUAUAAAAAGCUAAAGGAAAUUGGAAUUUUGUACCAUUUCUCCAGCCAGGAACUUUCAUUGUCAUUACCUCACUGUUACAGUUUGGAUUAAGAUUUGACUUUUGAGCAAACAUUCGCCAAAAUUUUACCUCUGCCUGUAAAUUCUUAAGUUUUGAAAAUUAUGAGACCUUUAUAUUGGGAUAUAUUAUAAUCGAAUCAAAACAUAAAAUUUUAAUAUUGUUAAUCUUUAAUCUUUUUUUUAAAAAAUUGAACAACAGAGUAAUUUCUAACAUAGAAAAAGUUGUAUAAUUGUCCAAUUAUUUAUAAUUUUAAAUAAUCCGGAUUGGUUUGUUAGAAAAUCAUCUCUUUGAUUUUUGAGAAUUUUUCAUAAAGAAUAGGGAAUAUAAUGUUCAUAUUUAAAGUAAGUAAGUAACACAUCUCAAUUGUUGAAAUUAUUUUUCCAUUAAAUUCAACGAUGACGAAUUAAAGUCAGAAAAUGACAAAAUCAGUGGUGGCUUGCAAUAAUUGCAAGGUCGCUGGACCCUUGCAAAAUGUGUGAAAGUAAAUAAUUGAAUGCACAGAGCUCGCUUUCUUACUUUCGUUCCGGUUUCCUGGAAAUUUCUUGGAGCUUUCAUAUACAGGAUUUGCCAUGUUAAGAAACAGGGUCAUGAUAAUGGGGCAAACAUUUGAUUGAACCAAUAAAGGAAGGGAAAGCAAAGUAAGGAAAAUUUGAAAUUAUAAGAAGCUAAAGAAACAUCCAACGUCAUUACCUCACUGUUACAAUUUUUAUUGAGAUUUGAGCAAGCACUUACCUAAACAUUACCUCCGCCUGUAAAUUUAUAACUUUUGAAAAUUAUGAGAUCUUAGAUUGCGAGAUAUUAAAAUUUAGAAUUUCAAUAUUAUUAUUCUUUUAAAAUGAAAUUUGAGAUAACAGAGUGAUUGAUAAUAUAGGAGAACUUGACCACGGUAGGCCAAAAAUCUAGGCAAGCACAUGCAUACACAGAAAUGUGAUGGAUUCUGAAAGAAAUUAAAGUAAUAAUGUACGUAGGUCCUUAAAAUAAAAAGCAAAAUCGCUUGGUGGCCCAGUAUAAUAUAUAUAUAUUAUAAUACAAUAUAAUACAAUAUAAAUUCAAUCCUUACCUGAGGCAUGGAUGCACAACGAGUUACCUGCCACGCUGGAGCACCUUGAGGUCAAUUGUUGCUCGAAUCUUGCUUUCUUGUCACGGAAUGGAAAUCUACCUCAGGCUCUUAAGUACCUUCGUGUUGAAGACUGUUCAAAGCUGGAGUCGUUAGCAGAAAGGUUGGACAACACAUCCCUUGAAGAAAUUGAUAUUUCAGGGCUUGAAAAUCUUAAAUCAUUACCUGCCGGUUUGCAUAAUCUCCACGAUCUUCAAAAGAUUUGGAUAUCUGAAUGUCCAAAUCUUGAGUCAUUUCCCGAAGAAGGAUUGCCUUCUACGAAACUGACUCUGCUCACGAUAUGUGAUUGUGAGAAUCUGAAGGCUUUACCCAACUACAUGCACAAUCUCACUUCAUUGAAAACUCUGCGUCUCGGUAAUUGUCCGAAGCUCACAUACUUUCCAGAGCAGGGCCUGCCUAAAUCACUUUUGGAACUAAUUGUCUCUAAUUGCCCGUUGAUAGAAGAAAGGUGCAGAAAGGAUGAAGGAAAAUAUUGGCCCAUGAUUUCCCAUAUACCUUGUGUCCAAAUUAAUUUCAGAUCAGUUUUUAAAGGAAGAUCCAUCAAUUAGAUUGUGUAAUCAUAAUUUCUUUUUUUUUUCCACCUGUAAUUUAAUUGUAAUAUGAACUGACUUUAUCAAUAAAAGAAUAAAAUUAUGUUUAGGAUUGUCAGUGAAGUUGAUAAAGUAAGAAGAGCAGAGGAAAGAAGUAAUAAGAGAAGAAGAAACUCCAGUUCAAGGAGGGAUGUUAGUGAAACUGAUUAAAUGAGAAGGAACAGAGAAAUCGUGUACAUGCUGUUAUUGUGCUCUUGACAGCAGCUAAGCAGCUCACUUAAGCUGACGUGGAUUAGUUAGUUAUUUGGUUUAACAAAUUAUCAUUUUAUAUAUAUAAAUGAUAAAAAAUUGAAUUUAUAUUGUAUUAUAAUAUAUAUAUAUAUUAAACCAAACCAAACUUAUGUUAUAUGGUUUUUUAAAAAAAACUUAUUUUAUAUGGUUAAAAGAAAACCUUAUGUUAUACGGUUUCAAAAAAAUAAACUUAUAUUAUAUGGUUUCUUAUUAAUAAUCACACAAACCUUAAGGACUACCAUUUGUUUUUUGAAAAAAAAAAUUGAAUCUAAAGAUUUUUGAGAAAUGACCCAUUAUAAGUUGAACUUAUAUUAUAUAUAUUUUCUCCUUACAUGGACAACCACAGAAAAGACCGACCAGUUAUCUCCAUGAACUCGUAUAAAUUCAACCAAAAUAACAAUUCCAAUCUUACCAAAUUCUUGAGUUAAAUUUAUUCAAUGCUUUUUUUUUAUAGGAAAUUUUUUCCAAUGCUACUUUUCCUUUUUUGGGGAAAUUAGACCGCGGUAUGUGUAGAAGACAUUGAGGUGUAAAGCGACAUUAAUUUCAUGGGUUAUGCGUUAUAGGCAUAAUAUAUUUUCAGUCCAGAUUCAAUUAUGCAAAGAGGCUUGAGAACUUAAAAUUAACCACAAACUAAACAGACGAAGUAAAUACAUGAUUAUGCAACAUAACAUUAAUUCUCUCAAUUUAUAACUGUUUUUGCUACAUGAAUCUUGCACAGUUAGUCCUAAUUGAAGACUAAAAAAGAACAAUUGGAACAAGGUUUUGGAAUAGAAUGAUAUACAAUCAAUAUGAUCCAUUUCUAGUGGCCAAAGCUAAUUAACUGCAAUUUCUAGACUCCUAAGUAUACUAGUCAUAGGAAACUGUUUAGAAAACUAGUGAUCAGAUUAGAUUUUGAAAAGAAAUAAUGUUCAUUUCCCCUUCUCUACCUUUUUUUUUUUUUGUUUUAUUUUUAUAGCAAAGAAUUAUAUCAUGAAAAGAAUCAAUUUAAUCACCUUUUCCAGCAGCCCAAUUUUUCUUUUAUAAAAUUGGACCACGGAGACAAAGAAGAAUUAUUCAUACCUUCAUCACUAAGGAAAUACUUUUCGGUAUGGCUAAGGUGAGAAAAGGCUUUCCACAAACACUAGUAGUUUGUAUUCCUAUAAAUUUUCUUUGAAGUCAAUAAAAACCAUAAGUUUUUUACAAUAACCAUCUCUUUGAUCAAAAAGUGCCGUAUUCCUUUAGAAUUUAAAACCGGCAAAAACCGAAUCGAUCAGUGUCUUUGAAGAGACAUAAUGGUCGUAAUUCUUUAAAUGAGUUGGCUAUGGAAAUCCUUAUCCAAGAUUCUUUUACGCCAUAUUCUUUCGUAAACCAAAAUUCAUUUUGGAAUACUCCUCGUCCCAACAUACAGAGACAGUCUGUCAUAACUUUAGCCGAAUACUUAUGAUAAUGAUCAUUUGUGAUUUCAUCAGGCAUAGGCAAGAACUUGAACUUGUCUACUACCAACCAAAAGCCGAAAUUCGCCUGCCACCCCCAAUGAUUCCUAAUACUAUUUUAAUACCAAGUUUGAUCACAAGAUAAGAAUCAGAUUUAACACUUUUCCAAGUGUUGUUUCUCAAAGAGAAGUCAUACACAUUUUAUUUUCUACCAGGAACUGUUGUACUAUCUAGCCAAAUGUAAAUUUCCGGUCUUGGUAUUCUCUUACCUCUCUAGUGGAAGGAUUGUAUAUCUUAUAUAAAUAGUUAUUAUAAUUACGCUCCGAGUCUCUCUUUAGUCCUCAAGCACAAUAAGCCAUUACAAGAACCCAAUAUCAAAACCGAUUCAUAAAGCUAACCAUUGCUUUAAUUUGCAAGUUAAAGAAAAAAUCACUUCAGGUUUCAGGGAUACUGUACGUAAAAUCGAGGAAGGUAACUGGAAAACACUUGUAUAUAUGUCAAGCAAACUGCAGGAUUUGUGAUUAUAUGUGUAAAAUAGAUAAGACUGAUAAUAUAGCAAUCGCAUAUACAUGCCAAUCCUAGUGGAGUAAAAGCUCUAUUGCCACUAGAAUUCUGUUCGUGGAAUUUGUUCUCAAAUUUCAACCGUAUGUAAAGUUUGAACUCUAAUUGCUUAUAAUGUAUUGAUUAAGAAUAAUCCUAAGAGUUCCUGAUUGAAAUUUUUUAAUGACUUUUUUAUUGUUUUGGAUAUACAAAUUGCAUUAAGAAAAAAUAUUGUCAAUUUCAGAGGAUAACGGGAAAUGAUUAUGCUUCAAAAGGCCAGAGAUUAGAGAAUAAAGAAGCAUUCAUUACUGAUAUACAAAAGAGAAACACUCCAAAAUUGCUAGCAAACUAGUUUCAUUUACUAUUUGGAUUUUGGAAGGGGUGAAGUUUUGAGCUUCAGUUGUUCCUCUAAAAUCAAAAGUAGCAAUUAAGCGUUCUCAUUUAGAAAGAGCAAAGAAGACUUAUUCGUACCUUACUAAAGCUAACAUUAUGGCAUGGUUGUUCAUAUAUAACGGCUGCUCUGUUAUGCUAGCUUCUCUGUUUUUUUUUUUUUUAUAUUACAUGAGACUAUUGCUCAAAUUACAACUCAUAUUACAUGAGAGUAUAACUGAUAUUUACAAAUCAAACUAUCACUGGGACCAAUUUACAUCAAUGCUAAUGGAACUCUGCCCAGAUUUUAACCCUCACAAAUAUUCGAGGGAUGUCUACUCCUUACUUUUAGGUAAGGGAGAAGACUACCUUCACUCAAUUUUAAUUGAGGAAGAAAAUAACCCCACAAUGCAUUUGCUUCUAUUUUUGCUUGCAGUUUUGAACAUAAAUUCUUGCUCAAAUAACCCAUAAUUAAAUAACACUAAUAUGGCUCGUGAAAUCCCAUAAUAGCUAAUUACGCAACUUUCUCCUCCUCCUCAAUUCUGUCUUCCCCUGCUCGUACACUAAAUUCAAAAUUCAAUGCCCCUAAAAACAACACAAGAAAUCUUUGAGAUAAUUCAUGACCAGUUUAUACAUAGUAGCAAUUGAAAAAGGAAAAAGAAUGAAAGAGUUAAUUAUUAUUCAGACCUUCACGUAUUCGGAAGUUUGUUCUGCUAUUGGGUGAGAUCAAGCUCUCAGCAUAUACUUCCAUAUGAUACUUUCCAACAUUUUCUUGAAAGCCAUCAAUCAUAAAAUCUUCAUACUUUUUUUCAUCCUUUGGAUCAAUAAGUACAAAUUUCUCGUCUAAAACAUACAAAAUAAAAUCAUUGUCCUUCUUGGAACAUAAUGGCUGCAAUGCCUGAAUUGAAUUGGCUAAUGAAAUUUAAGUCCAGGAUUCUCUCAGCCCAUAUUCUUUCAUAAUCCAAAAUUCUUUCGACCAUAAUGUUGACUCUGAGAUUAAACAAAGGCAAUUUCCUAUAAUUGAAUAUGAAUAUUUGGAAUGAUAUGGGCAAACAUUUUUCAGGUAAGGCUAAGAAUUUGAACUUGUCUUUUGCCAAAACAAAUGCCGCAAUCAUGUAAUCAGAAUUGAGCUUACAAAAACCGAAGUGGACAGUUCCAUUGAGAUUGGUCACCCGAGAACAAUGAUGAAAAAACUUAAAAUCAGUUUCAAAGGUGUUCCAAAGUAUUUUUCCUUAAAGAGAAGACAUGCACACCUACUACUACUUUGGCAUUUCUAUAAGAGUGAGAAAACCCUAAAACCUUGAACUCAUCUAUUGAUUGAGCAUAACCUAAGCUAACUAACGGUGUAUCUCUAUUAGUGAAGGGUUCAUAGUCGUUUGGUAUUCUCUUGAACUCUCUAGUUGAACAAUUGUAUAUAAAUAAAGUUUCAGUUGCAGUUUCAUCUCGGAGGGAUAAGCACAACAAAGCAUUACAAGGGCAGCAUAUCCUAAGACAAUCAAAAGAGCUUUCUUUAAUUGGAAAAUCAAACUGAUCUUCCGUAAUAAUUUUGCUAUCGAGGUCUAUACGGAGAAGAGAGUUUCUUACCAAGCUCUUGACCAUAUCAACAAGAACCAGCGUUUGUCCUUGUUGGUUUUUAGUUUGGUUGAUCUUGACGAACCGAGGAUUAGUAAUUAAGGCCCUGAAUGACUUGGAUAAACACUUGAAUAGGCAGAGAGACUUGGCGGGGAGUUUUGCAAACACAUCGACGAUGAUAUCUGGAGGAAGAGCCACAUUGCUUCUUCACCAAGUUAAGCAAAGACUUUAGGGUUUCUUGAUCUCAAUUUGGUAGCCGUGAUGUUUGUAAAGAGCAGUCAUUCGCAUAAAAACUAUUAAAUAUAUUAUUUUUUUAUUCUAAAACAAUAUCAAAGCAUUUUUUAAAUACUGCUCCGUUAAUUUUGAAGUAAAGUUUUUGGGCUCCUUUCAAAAUAUUUUGCCUCUACUCCCAAAUGGGGGUUUUUAAUUAAAUACCCUUUAAUAGUUUUAAAAUUAUUUAAAUACCCCAUCCUUUUUUAGUUUUCAUGGAUACCCUAACAAAUGUGAGUAAAGUCAGAAAUACCCUUAAUGAAUGCAUCAAAUUCACUCAAUGAAUUGUCUUCAUAUUUCUUUCCUCAUUUCUUUCACCCAAAUCUAUUUUUGCUGCCGAUUCUCUCAAAGUCUCUUAGAAUCUCUCAAAAUCUCUCAUAACUUCUUACACAAAUACAAUUAUGUAUUCAUUUCUUUAACACCCACUCUUUCUUUAAAGGUGCAUUGCUUAUUAAACAACCCAAUAAGAGAUGUUAAUGUUGUUAGGUUUUAAAUUUUUUAAUUUUUAGGAAAAUUUAGAAAUUUUCCUCACAUUACAAUGUUUUAUUUUCACCAUUUUUUCUUAUAUGUAGAAAUUUAUGCAAUGUAGGUUGUUUGAUUAUUUUUUUCAGCAAUAUAGCUUAUUUAUGGCGAAAAUGUUUCGCGUUAUGCAUUCUUUUGAUAUCGUGUACGUCAUAUAGUUAGUCAUAUAGGUCAUGUAAAUAAUAUAGUCGUGUAAGUCGUGUAGGUCAUGUAAGAAAUAUAGUCAUGUAAGUCGUGUAAGUAAUAGAGUCGUGUAGGUCGUGUAGUUACUUGUAUAUGAAAUUUGAUAUUAUUAUUUUUAUUGUAUCAUCAGAUAUGGGAAGUGGCUCGUUCUCACUUCGAGGGGAGGUGUUAUGGGAUUAUGACAACUAACAUUGCAGAAAGUAUGAAUUCUCUCUUGAAAGAAGCACGAACCUUGCCUAUUCAUAAGUUAAUGGAUUGUAUCAUUGACAAAUUACAAGAAUAGUUUGCAAAAAGGCGAGAUAUGGAAAUGGAUGCAUGUACUCUAAUUUGUUGCAUUAUGAAAUAACUAAAUUUUUUUACAUUCCAAUUUAAUUUCACUUCUUUGUUUUUAUAAUUUCAGUUGACAUUUUCUACAUAGCAGCAAAUAUAAAUUCUUAGCACCAAUUAAGUCUUUAAAGAACUAAAUUAAUCUAAUGAUUAUUGGAAAAAGUCGUGUAAUACAAGAAGUCGUGUAAUACAUGAAGGUGGUGUAAUCGCAUAAUAUAUGAAGGUCGUGUAAUACACGAAUAUAUUACAUGACCUUACACAACCAAAUCGUGUGUUCAUAAAUUACAGCAAAAAAAUAAAUUUGCAUAUUCGACAGUUUGAGAAAUGAUUAGAUUAAUUAUUAUAAACAAACAAAGUUAUUAGUUUACAAUGUCAAUAUUUGGAUAGGAUACACUAAUGGGCAUCGCAAUUAAACAAAUUACAACCAUUUAAAAAGUUUUUUUUAUCUUCAAACUGUUUUCUUCCUCUGCCCAAGCAUACAUGAGGAAUGUCUGCAAAUAAUAAAUUCAUGAAAUCAAUUAGAAACAACUCUUAAUCAAAGGCUGCUUGAAAAAACCACUUUAGUUAAUUCUUCCUAUUAAUAGCCCAGGACCAUUGAUAGUGAUGGCCUAUAAAAUUUCAUUUUACUAAAUCAAACUAUUCCACCAGCAAUGACUUCAUUUAAAAAAACAAUACUCACAUGUUAGUUGUUCUCCGAAAGUAAUGACUGGUCAUAGAAAAGUCUUUCAGCAAGUUGCUUUCAUGAAGGUCGUGUAAUUGCAAUACAUGAAGGUCGUGUAAUCGUGCAAUACAUUAAGGUCGUGUAAUCGUGCAAUACAUGAAGGUCGUGUAAUACACAGCCUUAAAUCCUACAUAACCUUACACGACCAAAUCAUGUGUUACAUGACAAAAUUAUAAUCGGCACAAUCCAUCAAAUUUUCACAAUUUGCAUGCAGCAAGACAACUAGAAAUUUAUUUUUGAACAUGUAAUGAGAGACCCGCAACUAAUUAAUCUAUAUUUUCUAUAGAAACCCUAACUUUUUGUUUUUUUUCCCCGAAUAUCAACAAGAAAACUAAUUAUAGGGAAUUGCUUACCUCAACUAGUUACAUUAUGACCAUUUUAUAGUAAAAGAUCAACUCUCACCGAUGAUUAUGUAGCGACAAACUAGGCUUCUCUUUCUCAGUUGUGGCAGCUUCUCCUUCUCAGGCUCAGUUUGCUCGUGUUGAAGUUCGAUUUAGCAUGUAUGGAAAAUGAAUAUUUGUUUCGGUAGAGGUGAUGCCGGUGAGGGAAUUGCAGAUGUGAUGCUGGUUGAUAUUUGAUUUAACAUGUAUGAGAAUGGAGGAUGAGUGUUUGUUUGUUUGAGUAAAGGUAAUGAAAGGAAUUGCAGCAGAUAUGAGUGUUUGUUUACUUCAGUAGAGGGGGGAGAGGUGUUGUCCGUUGAGUUGAAAUGUUUUAAAAUGAGGAUAACUUAGUAAUUUCCUAUCAAUUUUUAAAAGAUAUUGAUGAAAAUUUUGACAAAAUCAAAUUUUAAGGUAUUGAGAUAAUUUUUGAAGUAUGGAGGUGUACUUGCCGCAAUUAACUUUCCCAAAUGCCCAGCUAAAUACCCAAUGAAUAGCUCCGCCUCGAAUAUCAGAUGAAUAUCUCCAAUGAAAAUCACGUUCAACUCUUUUUUUUUUUUUUUUCCUCCCCAAGAGCUGGUUUUCACAGAGAAAACGUCUACAAUUUUUUCACAAAAACCAAAUUUCACAAUUUUGUAGUCAUCAAUUUGCUCAGCAUAACAAAACCCAUAUAAACUUUUCACUAUUUUACAUAUAGUAUAAUAUAACUCUUCUCCUCAGUCCUCAGUUCCCUCUUAUGAGAAAACUAAAAUUCACGUCUCCUUCUUCGAUAACAAAUUCACGUUAAAACCCUCAAAAACAACAAGACUUGCCAAUAUUUUAUAAUAAAGAAGAGAGAAACAAUGCCUUCAUAUCCUCGAAGUAAAUGAGAACUUGCAAUAAUUAAAGUAAGUAGUAACAUACGGUUUGCGACCCUGUUGAUGAUAGGCGUCUAGGCUAGCAAGUGGCUUUAGUAUGUAAAACUAUCUAGAAUCAAAAUCUAUGUACAUUCGAUAAGCGGGUCGGUCAGCAGAGUAGUAACCUUGGAUCAGGGUAUCAACUUGGAAACCAAAUUUCUUGUAAAGAUUCACAGCGGGAGUUCUCAAAGGAUCAACAUGAAGCGUUAUGCGGAGCACAGUUCUGGUUCUGCAUUUCUUAAUUGUUGCUUCCAGCAGUGCCUCUCCGUGACCUUGUCCCCGAUAAUUCUCCUUCACUAAUUAAGUUCACCCCAAAACCCAUUAAUUUCAUGUCAAUUAAAAAAAGAAAAGAAAAUGAAUAACUAACAAAUAUUUCUUUGAGGACUUUUAUCAAACAGUUGAGAUUACGGGCAUGCAGUGGAAAUUUCAACAAUGUGGACAAAGAUAUGGGACCUGCAAGCUUGGUGAUAGAAGCAGACAAGGAAGUAGGCCACGCGUACAUGACGUAGCCAACGACUUGUCCAUGAAUAUGAAUGUAAAGCAGGCCUGAGUUCUUCUUUUUCAGCUCUUCAUCAAAAGAUCUUGCCAGUGAUUCGUGCUUGGGAAAAAUCUUCUUCUCCAUCUUCACAAUCUCGUCCACUACGACAGUCCAGUUCGUUGAGUUUCUCUGCAGCUCCGUGACGGUUCCAUUACUCCCCAUGGCACGUGGCUUGUUGCGACUUACAGUUGAUCCAGCACGUACAGAAAAUUAGAAAUGAAGCCUCCUAGCAUUCUUUCGAACAGGCAAAAAAGUCAAUGGACAUGGAGGCGCCAUGUGUGGAAAUGUUAAGAGGAUGAUGAAGCCCCCAAGAGGCCAGCGUGGCGUGGCAUUGCACCUCAUCAUUUUUUUAAUGCUAAUCUGUAGAGCGGCCCAAAAUGACGGCACAAUAUAUAGCUGGCAAAGCCCACCCAAGCCCAACUAUUUGGGCCAACAUAUCAUAAAUUAAAACAAAUAUAAAAUGCACUGUACAGCGCAGACAAAGAUGCUUUGUGCAGAGAUGUGUUUUCUUUAUGGGUCCAAUUAUAUUGGUACCGCUCUAAGGUAGAGUAUCAUUUCAUAACUACAUUAUCAAAAUCAUAAUUAUUUUUUUAUUAUUUAUUACUUUGCGUGUGUGACUGAGAUUCGUGAUCCAUCAUAGAUCAGCUCCAACGUAACAGAAGCCUUCUUUUAUUGCUCAUCAUCUUUAGCAAACAUUCAUUGGCUUUGGAUGUUGCUACAAUUUAUUUUGCAUAAUUGAAAAGUAUAGUAGAUGUGCAUAAUGUUAGAAAUUUUAUUAUAAUAUAACAAAAUACGUAAUAACUUAUACUAAGAUGUUAAGAAUUCAUUGUGCCAAAUUCCUAUAUUUGUCUAUAAUAAAUCAAAAUUUCAAAAUAUAAAAUAUGGAUAAAAUUAAAUAGAAAAUGAUUCAAUUUAUAAAAUUAAAAAUGAAAUUUGAUUAAAUCAUAUUUCUAAGUAUGAAUAUUUAGUUAAACAUUUUUGAAAUAAAGAAAAUUAUUAAAAUUGAAAAAACAAAUAAUUAAAAAAUAGAAUUUUAAAAUUGAAAUAAAACUAAUUUUAUUGAUUGAUAAUAUAUUACAAAGAGAGAUGAGAAAAAUAAAUUGAGGUGAAAGAAGAGAAGAGAAGGUGUGUAGAGAUGUGUUCCACCCUCUUCUAUUUAUACUAAUACAUGGUUAAUCCAGACUACGCAAAUAAAUAAAACUAAUUACACCUUAACCGUAUAUUUGUCACACUGAUAAAACACAAACUUAACUUAAUCCACUAAUGCAUAUCCAACACAUUCCGUUAACAAUUACCAUAAAGUAGUGUACUAGGGUAUAUACAUAAUCAUUUUACAUAACUAUACGCUGAAUGUAAUACAUCAGCAAACUUGGAAAUCAUACAUUCAUUACAAAACUGCACCAUAUAAUACCCAGAGGAAAUAAGUCUCAAUACUUACCGAGAUCAUCAUCGCAUGAAUAGAGGAUAGAAAACCUUUCAAUACCUAACAAAACUUAACUACAUCAUACAGGUAAAGUAAUUUAACUCUCAAUACACAAUGCACAUAGCUUAUAAAGAAGACUACAUAUAUGAUGAUUGGCAAUCACAUAUCAUGACUCAAUUAAAUAUAUAAUACGUGUAUAUAAAAUCAUAACAUGAUAUUAAAUCAUAUUAUCAAUCAUAAAUGCUUCAUAGAAUACAUAAUGGUAAUAAUUGUCUCUACUCACAGAUUUUGUUUCACUCGUGGGUUCGUUGGGGCUCCUGUGGGUUUCUAAAUUCUUGAAAUUCUCAUAAAAUGCAGGAUUCAAAAAUUAACUGUUAGAACUGAUAUAAAAAUUAAUACGUACGAUGUAAAUUAAAUCAUAAUUUCUUAUAUUUCACAAAUCUAUUACCCACUGACUCACUUAAUAUAGAUCUAACUGUCCAAUUCUAUUUCUUAUAAUAUUUCUCUCAAUUCCACUUUUCAAAUUCUUUUCCACUCACAACUUUUUAAUUUUCUUUUUCACUCUUUUCUUUCUUUUCCUCAUUUCCCACUCUCGGCUUCUUUCUUUUCUUUUUCUUCUCUUUUAUCUUCUCUACUUUCUUAUUUCUCUCAUGUUUCCUUUAUUCAUUCUCAGUGCUCAAAUUUGAUAAAAUGAAGCAGUGUCAAAAUUUUGCAUUUAUAUAGCCACCAAACAGCCACCGAAUUGAAGCAAGUAGCUCUCACUUUUUAAAUAUAUGUAGGCACCACUUGAAGCAAGUGAAUAUGUAGCUAGCUGCUUCCAAUUGCCUGCACUUGUGCUAUAUAAUUGUAAAAUUGGACUUGGGUUUGAGAGGCCUCUUCAAUGCUUUCUAUUCUCCCGUAAUUAUUGUUAUUAGAAUAUUCCAACCUAGCCUACGUACAACUGCAUUCUUCACUCGUGCUCAUCGUAGGCCUCUUUCAGCCAAUGGUUAAUACUAAAAAACUUAUCACCCAUAUAAUUUUUUAAUUUGUGUGUAGGGUAAUAAUAAAAUUGAAAAUAAUUAAAAAAUAGCACAAUAAUGAGUUUUCACAAUAAAACAAAUCAAAUGAAAAUUGAAAAUUUAGAAAAGUGUAUCUAAAAAAAAGGAGCAUUUUUGGAAAUAAAAUGAAUAUAACUAAAAAGGGGCUUUUAUGAGAAGAUCAUAGGGGUGUCAAUAGUCCAACUCUUAUAUUUAAAGUUAUUUUGACUUUGUAUUUCCGAUGAUAUAUUUAUUAGGUAAUUUUUAAUUGAGUCAUUAUUUGUAGAAAAUUUUUCUGAGACCAGAAGUUUAUAAAAUGAAUCAAUUAAAUCCCUCUAAGUAUAAAUUUAUGUCAUUCAAGUCUUUAACUUAAUUUCUUCGUUAAAAUUAUUAACAACAUCAAGGACAUUUUAGUUAAAAAACAAUUAAGCACCUUCUCAUUCUUUAUUUUUGACAGCCAACAAUAGUUUAAAGUAAACUCAAGUAACCUAAAUUAAUGUUCUUUAAAAAAAAAGAAAAAAGAAAGAAAGAAAAGGUUAGUUAAUGUGUAGGCAAGCAAUAUCACUUCAUCAACUGCACAGAUAUGAUUUCUUUUCAAGCAAGUGGAUUUCUUUUAUAUAUAUUCAUCAUGUUAUCAAAUGAAUUAAUAAAUUGGUGAUCCUAGUGAUGUGUAUGGAACCAAUAGGAUAUCACUAGCUAUACAUGUUUGAUUUGAUUGUGAAAUCCUAUUGAUUAAUUGUUUUUAAUAAAAAGAAAUUGAAGUCUCUUUUUUCUUUUUUCAUUUUUGGACGGCAUGGAAUUAGCCCACAAUCUCAAUAACUAGAUGUCAAUGAAUAAGCAAUUGACAAUAAUUCUAAACAUGCGAAUUAGACUUCAAUCAAUGUCACUCAACCUGUGGGACAACAUACACAACUUUUAUGGGCUGUAUCUCAACCUCAAAAUGAAGAACCAAUGUUAUUGACAAUGAGUAGAAUAGUACAAUAUUCACCUUGAGCUGGCAUUUAAUUCUCCAAAAUAGAAUCUAGAAGACAAUUAACUAUUUCUUGUACUUGAAUUUCAGUUUACCAUAAUGUUGUCAAGGUGUUUCUUAGUUUCAAUUUAAUUGACCUUCAUACUUUUAGUUUUAUUUUUAGACCGAAUGUUAUUGUGGUUUUUCUAAUAUUAUAUUCAAUACAUGUUAUUUAGUUUAACAAUCAUCGUAUAUUUUAUAAAUGUGACGGAAUUACAUUUUCAUGUGUAAUUCCAAGAGUUAUUAUGGUUAUGUUUUUUAGUGGUGCUCUCUUUAUUCGAAUUAGUUUAAAAACUAAAGAUUUUGUUUAAAUUGUUGCAGAAAUUUGUUCCCGAUUACUCAAAUUGGUAAAUAGGCUAUUAGGCUCUGAAAAAAAAAUUAAUGCAUAAGGGUAAAAUUGUACUUUAAAUCACUAAUAUGAUAUAUAUGGGAAUAUAGUUAUCUUUUUAUGUUUAAAUUAACGUUUUCACUAACUUUUAUGGCCAAAGAAUUAGGUGAAGAAUCUGAAAGACAUAAAUUUGUAUUUAAAAGGAUUUAAUUGAUUCAUUUUAUAAACUUUUGGUCUUUGAAUUUUUUUUCUAUAAAUAAUAAUGACUCAAUUAAAGAUCAUCCUAUUUAUUAUUGGCUGUUUAAAAAAACAAAAGAGAUGACUAGAGUUUAUCACUUUGACUAUAACGUGGGUCAUAUUGGUAGUUGCCAUGAUGGCAUGUCGAAUUUGGGAUGAUACGUUGAGGACUUGAGGUUGGAUUUCUUUCAGCUUAAAAAAAAAAAAAGUAUGCGGCCAAAAUUUUGCUUAAAAGGUUAAAUGUACCCCUGUCAAAGGACCAUCUCACCUCUGACCAUUUAACUUCUACCGUUAAAUCUGGUAUAUUUAACUAGUUUUGACCUAUGCAAUGAUUUUUUCUUGCAAGUUGUGUCAUGUGUGGAAGGGUAAAUUUGUUUUUUUUUGGGUGAACUUGUUCUUUUCUUAAAAGUUUCGGGGCUAUAAGUCUCUUAACUUAAAGUUAUAAUUAUAAUUGCACUAAUGAUACAAUAAAUUUUUGAUAAAUAAAUAUUUAAGAAAUUAAUAACUUUGGGUAAAUAACACACUUCUCCCGCCCCAACUUGCACUAUUUAAAUUAAUAAUUUCAUUUAAUGCAUAUGAUAAUAUUUUUUUUAAAUCCAUUAAGGCCCAAUGAAAAUAUAAAUUAAUAAUUAAUUAAAUAUAAAAAUUCAUAACUACUAAAAUAUAAAUUUGUAACAUUAAAGAAUUCUGUUUUUCUUACAACUUCAAUCAUCUAAAUUAAACUCUUUGCAAAUAAAUGCAUAUAGAGUUGUUUGCUUUUUUUUUUAAUAUUUAUUCCUAAAUUGAAUUCAAUCUCCUCUCUUAAUUUUUUUUUUUUUUUUUGUAGAGCAUGCACCACAUUUAUAACUUUUUUUUUCAUGUUUUAGAAAGUAGUUACUUAAUAUUAUUAUUGCUUGAAAGACCUCUUUUGCAGAAAUAUUUGGCAAACACAAUUAUCAUAUGAAUCGUAAUUGUCAUCAGCAUAGUUAUCUAAUACCCUUUUAAUAAUCUGGUUGAAUUAGUGAGUGAUUCCAUCACUACAGCUAUGCUAUUAAAUAUAGUAGUCAUCAGAGGAGAUAUUGUUGACAUGAGGAAGUACGAUAUGUGUUUAUACAUAAGUAAAAAUAUUGAUAAAACUCUUCCUAAAAACAAAAUAACAAAAUUAUGUUUCUAAAUUAAUAAAUAUUCAUUGAUCAAUAAAUUAAUAAAUUAUUAAAAUUUAUAAAUAAAUAAAUUCUCUAAAAUGAUAUUUUUUUCUUAGUCCUAGCAAGUAGCAAUAUUAUUUUAUAGAGGUUUUAUUUUAGUAAUAGCAAUAGUAUAAUUAUAAUUAUUAUUAUCAUUAUAUAUAAUAAUUAGUUAUAAUAUUUACUAUUAUGAUAGUUAUCAUUAUAAUUGUUAUUAUAAUUGUUAAUUAUCACUAUCAUUAUUAUUAGUUAUUUUACUAUUUAUUAUUAUCGUUAGCAUAGUAGUAAGAUAUUAUGUCGCUAUUAUUAUUACUAUUAAUUUUUUUAUUUUGUAAAUGGGGCAAAUUUCAAAUUUUAAAAACUAUAAGAAGAAUUUCAUUAUUUCCACUAGUUUCAUUCUCAUAUAUAUAGAUACACACACAUAAAGAAAUACGAUCAAUUAUUCACAUUUCUCUAUCCCACGAAUAAAUACUGUAAAUUAUUAUUUUUUAAAAGAAAAAUAUCAAAACGGUGUGGGUCCCAGCAUAAGCCUUCUAACCUACCUUCUCCCUGUAGAAAAAAAAGAAAAGAAAGAAAAACUCAACUUUUAGGAAAAUGUUUUGGAAAAUGAGAUUCUUCCCACGUUAAGCACCACAAUAAGCACCAAACGGUGCGUUUUGGGCAUAGUAUAAAAUGAGCCAACUCACGUGAUACACACAUAGCCACCAGUAAACACGCGCAGUAGAUCUCACGCGAUAUACACCUUUUCUCCAUUUGCUCUCACAAAAAUCUCACCGUUUCUCUCGCUGUGUCUCUCUUUGAUCUCCAUUCUCAAACUUUCUCAGGCAGUGGUGCUCGGCGUUGGUCUCUGGCCGUGGGUUUCCGGCUGUGGGUCUCCGGCCGUGGGUCUCUCACCGCUGGUCUCUCACCGUGGGUCUGCUCUCUCUCUUCUCUAUCAUCUCUAUUCUCAAACUUUCUUAGGCAGUGGUGCUCGGCGUUGGUCUCUCACCGUGGGUCUGCUCUCUCUCUUCUCUACCGUCUCUGUUCUCUCGAAUUGUAUAGGUAAUGGCAAAUUUCCGUGAGUUGAUUUUUAAUUUUUGAAAAUCCAGUUGAUAUUGUGAGCUUAAUUACACUUGGAUUGAUGUUGUAGUCGAAUUGUAUAGGUAAUGGCAAAUUUCCGUGAGUUGAUUUUUAAUUUUUGAAAAUCCAGUUGAUAUUGUGAGCAAAUGAGACAAUUAUUUUCAAUAGUCUUAGGAGAUGGCCUUGUGCUGGAGAUGGGAUUUUGAUAGCCUUAAGAGAUGGUCUUGUGCUGGAGAUGUCAUUUUGAUAGUUAUUUACAUGCAGUUUCUUGGUUACAAUUGGCAAUCCGUUAUAUCCUUUGAACUUGACUACUACAAAUAUUCCAAUUGAUGGAUGAGUUGAUUAUUCUUGUGUUCCUCUUAGACAUUUUUGAAAUGAGUGGCAAACAGACCAUAUUUUUCUUCUUUUUGUUUUCUUUGUAAUUGAAAUUGAAUAAUUUUAUUUGAGCUGAAUGAAAUUAGUGUAGACUUUUUGUUGUACUUUUGAGAUGAAUGCAGUAAGAUGUAUUUCUUUUUUUUUGGGGGAGAAAAAAAGAAAAUUAGACCUAGCACAUACUUAUGUAUUUCUUUUUUUUUGUCUUUGCCUAGGUGAAGUUGAAUUGGUGGUCAUUAGCAUAAAGAUGCAAUUGGUAAUUUUGAAGUUGGUUCAGUAAGCUGGUUUUUAAUAAAUUGACUACCAUUUUUUCUUUCUGGAAGGAAUCUGGGUUGUUGUGUAUAUUGAACAGAAUUUGUUCAAUCAUUAUGUCUUCAAGCACAAGCGAAAUGCAAACACAACUAAAAGCUUGUGAUAAAUGCUGCAACAACAAUAAGGUCUUGCAAACUUCACGUACAAAAGAAAAUCCGAAUCGUAGGUUUUGGAAGUGCAAAGGAUGUGGGGCUUUUGAAUGGGAUGAUGAUUGGAAGAGCAGUGAAUGUACUGAUUUUAGAGGGAUGGAAGAUCGUAUUAUAAAUUAGAAUAAAAUUGAGAUGUUGAUAGCAGAAGUCCGCAAGUUGGGCCAUCAAAUCGAAUGCUUAUCUCUUAAAUUUCAGUUGCUUGAGCAAGAACUUCAACGAAGACAACAACCAAGUGUUCUUGUAACAUACAUCCCGCAAAUAAUGAUAACUCUUUUAAUAUGUAUUAUAUUUAAGUUGUGCAAUUAAUUAAUGUAUUGUUAUUUUUCUUUUUCUUUUUGGCGAAUUGUAUCAUGAAUGCUUCAGUGGAUGUAAACAAAAACUAAUGUUUCUGUAAAGGGCAGGAAAGAUUAUGCUUAUGAUUGUUGCUGUCAUUUUAAUUUGCCUUAUCAUUUGCAUCUUUCUGUCAUUUGAUCCCCAUAACUAGUUUGUAAGGGAAUUGUUCCAUGCUUUUUCACAAAAUAUAGAUAAUUGCUGCACAUUAAAAACACAUUUAUUCUUUAGGAAAUAAUUAAAGAAUAACAAAUCUGCAGUUACAGAGGAUCAAUUCCAAUAGCAUACAAUUAAAAAAUAACAUAAUAUCAUUUAUCUCUCCACCAUUUCAGUAGCACACAAUCAAAGAAUAACAUAUUUGCAGCAUCUCCUCAAUUCCAAUAGCAUACAAUUAAAAAAUAUCAGAAUAUCAUAUAUCCUCUCACCAUUCCAGUAGCACACAAUUAAAGAAUAACACAUGCAGCAUAUCCCUCCACCAUUCCACCAGCAUAUAAUUCAAAAAUAACACAUGCAGCAUAUCCCUCCACCAUUCCACCAGCAUAUAAUUCAAAAAUAAAACAUGCAGCAUAUCCCUCCACCAUUCCACCAACAUAUAAUUCAAAAAUAACACAUGUAGCAUAUCCCUCCACCAUUCCAAUCCAAUAGCACACGGCCAAAUAAUAACACAGCUGCAGCAUAUAAAUCUAAUAAAGGAUCAUGCAUAGAUAAAAAACAAUUUCAUGUAUGAAAUCCACAAUCUUACAUAUCAUAGCCAAGGGCUUGUAUCCGAAUAUUAAUGAGAAUAAAACAAAAACAAUGCUAUUCUAGGAAAUCACUUCGAAACUCCUUAUCAACUUCAUAUUCACUAUCUUGCUGAAAGAGUAGCUGCUGAAAAUGUCCAUGCGGCUGGAAUUGUGGUUCCUAUUAAAAAUAAAUAAAUAUUUUGUUAUAAUAAAAGAAAAUAAAGUAGAUAAGAUGAAUAAAUACUAAAUUUAUCACCACUUACCGUACAAGAAUUUUGUGUAGGUGUUGGAUAAACAUUAUCCCCAACCAUAUGAUGUAAGCUCAUAAGACCCUAAAACAAACAUACAUUAAAUGAAGCGAUAAUAAAAAAAAUUCAUAACAUAUACUAUGAAAAACUUACAUUACAAUAGUCCAUAACUCCAUGUGGGUACAUAUUCAUAUCAACACAACUUCCUUCAGGAUUUUGAAAUGCCUAUAGAGGAUCAAUAAUAUAUUAGAAAAAUGUCUAUGAUUAAGUAAUAAAAAUCAACGACAUGCAUAUGAAUUCCAUAAAACCUACCGUAACAACAUUGUUCUCGUGUGUUGGGAUCACAGUCAGCACUUGCUCGUUCACCUGUCCAUCCUGCAAAGUCAACAAAACAUACAUUUGAACAUCAUUUAUCUCAUAAAUUUUUUAACUUUAAUUAAAUUGAAAAUACAUUUUAAAAGUACCUUUGCAUUAGAACGUGAGGAAUUCAUUUUAGAUUUUGAAAAUUUAUUAUAUUUUUUUCUUUGACAAGGUGGCCGACCUUUACGACGCCGAGCUACUGGAUCUCUAACUGUUUCUACUUCCACACUACAACUUCCUUGGCCUGUAACAAUAGUUACUUCAUUAUCUCCGCAAGGAAUUGCCUUUGAUCAAUCCUCCCGUACAUUCUCAAUCCAAUUGAAAACAAGAUUAGAGCUUUCAAUCUUAUGUGCAGCCAUAUUCGCAACCUCCGCGAAAGUAGCACACAUUUUCUCAUAUCGUUUUUGCUCAUCCGUACAGCUAUGAAGCUCAUAACUCGCUUUCACUCUACUAUGGCAUCUCCACACAUCUUUUCUCCAUCUUCGUAAAAUAUACUUUUCUGGAAGUACUUCUACGUCAUUGCGGAUCAUGAUUGUAAUGGCAUGCCUACAAAGAAUACCUCUAAAUUGGAACCUUGAGCAGCUGCAACGUAUUUCACCAUUUUCUUUUUCAAAAUAUACUUCAAAAAAGGUUCUCUUUUUACCCUCUCCAACUUUGACAUCCUCUCUAACUAUAUAUUCACAACCCAUAGAAUUGACAAAUUCGCAAUACAUUUUCCCAAUCAAUUCUUGCUGAAAUUCUUGAAAUUUUGAAAUAGUGUACACAUCUCGGACUUGCCUCUCCAUUGCAUAAGAUGUUACACGUGGCAUUUGUUGGGAAAGACACCUGACAUCUUCUUCAACUUCCUUCUGAACUUUAUUCUUCAACGCACAACUGUAUUGCUCUACAAACUGCUUCAAAGUAGUCUUUAAGUUAACAUAACCAUCAAAAAAUGCAUUCAUACUUUCACUGCGUUGAGUAGAUUACAUUCCUGCCCAAAAAGUAUUGUUUAGAUAACAAGGUACCCAAUGAUGCCUCUCAUCAUAUAAGCCUCGUAACCAUUCGUUAUCCCCCAAAUCAUAUUCUAUAAUCAUGUGGUGCUAAGUUUCCUCAAAUUUUGCAGCACUCUGGGAAUCAUAAACAGCACAAUGCAAGACAUUACUUAUGUUGCGAUAUUCUUUAUAACCCCCUAGCUUCUCUGGAAUUUUCUUCAUUAUAUGUCAUAAACACCACCGAUGUCGAGUAUUGGGGAAGACAUUCUGAAUUGCAACUUUCAUUGCCCUGUCUUGAUCUGUAAUGAUUCCAUUGGGAGCUGAAUUAGACAUGCAGGAUAGCCAUGUUCGAAAUAACCACGUGAAUGUCUCAAUAUCUUCGUGUGAAAUCAAUCCACACCCAAACAAAAUAGAAUGCCCAUGAUGAUUAACUCCUACAAAUGGAGCGAACGGCAUAUCAUACUUAUUUGUAAGAUACGUGGUGUCAAAUGUAACAACGUCUCCAAACUCCUUGUACGCUUCCCUAUUCCUUGGUUAUGCCCAAAAAACAUUUUUUAAUCGUCCCUCAUCAUCCACUUGCACACUAAAGUAAAACCUAUUAUCUUCUGCUUGCACUUUCAUAAAAUAGUUUUGAAGAGCAGCAGCAUCUCCAUCUCCAAGCCGUAAUCUUCUUUCUUUCUGAACAUGAUUUCUACAAUCUCUUUCUAUGAAUGUCACAUUUUCAUGACCGCUAGCCUCAAUAACAAGUGAUUGAUAAUUUUUACACAAUCUGAUUCCUGCUCGAUCAUUCACAUCAAGCAUCUUUUUUGCAUAUGUAUUGAGGCUAAGAUUGCACCGAAAAUACUUGGAUUUGGUUGGAGUUAACAGCACAUGGUUGUGUUCAAGAUUUAAGCUUCGAAUUGUCCACUUUCCAUCAUCCCCUAAACCAGCUCUCAAUCUAGCAUUGCAGCUUGUUUUUGCAUUAGGUUGGGGCUUUAAAAUUUUCACAGAUUUGCUUCUUGUUUCACCACUUCUCCCACAAGCAAAAGUCACAUUUCUAAAUAUCCCAUCACUAUCCUUUCUACUAGUUCUCCUCAAAACCGGAAACCCUUUUCUUUUACCGUACUCUUUUAAGUAAAUAAACAAAUCGACAUCACUAUCAAAUGACAUCCCAAUUAUUGGCUCAUCAUCCUCCUCAUUUUUCUCCAACUCUUCAACUUCGAUGUCCUUUUCCAUAUUAUUUAUUUCUACAAAAUUGAAAUAAUUCACAUUGACAAAAUGAAAGUAACAAAAUACAAAUAAUUCAGCACAACCUUACAAAACUAAACUAACUAAUGAUGCAAAUUGUGAACACAAAUUUAAUAUAUACCAGCUGAAUUUGCAGCAUAUAUUUAUUUAUUUCGUGCUUACUAUUAACUUUGUAAUAGACAAUUAAACAAAUAAGUAUGGAAUAAUUUAUGGCAGUGUAAAUUACUAGCUGAAUCUGCAGCAUAUACUAGAUAAAAUGCCGAUCACUGUCUUGAUUUUUUAUUUUUCCAUUUCAUUAAGUAAUUUGUUUAACUUAAUUUAAAUUAAAAUAAUGGGUUGCAAAUUGAAAUUUAAGUGAAAUGGGCUGCUGCCAUUUCCUGCCUUGAGUUGAUAGAAAGGUGCUUACGGUCUACAACAUAUGAUGCGGGUUUUUGCCCAUGCCUUUUUGUUUAUAGAGAUCGACUAGACAAGUUUUUUACAAGACAAUGCGUCAUUGGAGAGGAUGAAAUGGUUUAGGCUCCUAAGGGCUGCAUUCUUUUUUUUUUUUUCUUUUUCAAUGAAAUUAAAAAAAAAAAGUAUAUCCUGGAUCGCAAUUAGUGCGUCUACGAUUUAACUAGUCGUCUUGAACAAAGAUUCUAUAACUCCUAAUCUGUAGCAUAUACGCAUCCAAUGCAUACCUGCAGAAAUUGAUUGCCGCAAUCGACGAUGAGUGAAGUCAGUCACCAAGAUGCAACUCAAUUCUUCACACAGCUAAGAGGAUGAUAUACCGUGAGAGAGCCAACGGAUUUCACACCGUGAGGAACAGUCCACAAGUAAAACAGAAAAUGCCUUAGGAGAAUUAGUUGUUCAGAUUUCUAGCUUGAAUGAGGAGUGGGUUUGGUGUGAAUGAGAGUGAGAGUGAUGCGUGCGUGAGAUGCACGUGUAAUGUGUUUGUUUGUUCAAACAGUGGCCUUUUAUAUUGCACACAAAACGUACUGUUCGGGACUUAUUGUGGUACUUAUUGUGUGCUGAAUAUCGGUGCUGAAAUGUUUUUAUUAAGAAAAAAACAAAACAGAACGUAGAAAUAGGAGCAAGCAGGCCGCAGGCCAAAACCUUGGGGGUACCACCAUACGACUUCUGACCUCCCUGCGGGCUUGUCCUUUGCAGGGGUGGUGACAUGUCACAUGCGUACCAAAAAAUAAAAUUAUCUUUUUGUAUUUUUGUAUUAUUAUUUUCCUCCGCUCAUUCACAAGUAGUGGAUGUGAAAGAAGAUUUUAUAUAGGACCGCCGCACUAUUUCAGCAUGCCGUAUUGAAUAACAAUAAAUCUUAUAAGCGAAAUUAAUGAAGAAUCUUAUAAUCCUAUUUAUUUUAGAAUCUGCUUUUCUAUUAUAUGUCUUCUUUUUUGCCCCCCCGCCCCUCCCCUCUUUUUUUUUGCUAGUCCCAACGAUUUUGAAAUAUUAACUGAUUCCCACUGGUUGAGAUAAGGAUAAUUUUUAAAAACCUCCCUGAAGUUUGAGGUUGUUGCAAGUAGACCGUCAAAAUUAUUUUAUUUAUAAAAAAUCUCAAACCGUCAGUUAAAUUUUUCUUAACUAGUAGUUGACUUUGAAAAGAUAAAAUUAUCCUUAAUGACAGUGCAAUCCUUGGCGUGAAAAUCACCGUUCUAUUUUUUAACAUUUUUAGUUACAAUGUCUCAAGUAACUAAAAAAUUUAUUUUAUCCUAUUUAAAUUAUCAAGAUUUCCUUAAAAUCCUAAAAAAAAGAAAAAAAUUGAAGAAAUAGCAACUACUACCAAUCCCAUCAUCACCCAUUCAAUUUUUUUUUCUAGUCAAUUUCUUCAAAAUUGAUAAAAAAACAUUCUUCAUCAUAAUCUACAUUCAGCAACAUCAUCAAGCCUAUAACUAUACAUCGCCUAAUCCAAAGCAUUAAAGACGAACAAGAAAAGAGAGUUAUGUGAUAUGUGAUCGUAGAUCACAAUCUAAAGAUCAGAUCAGGCCACUCUCAAACUUCCACGUCAACGUCCUUCUUGACCGGAGAGCAAAUGAGCCAUGUGAAACCACAUGGAUCCUUGACCUUUUCCACGUGCCCAGCCGCCCACAACAAUACGCGCUGUUGCCUUUAGCAAGCUUACCCUCAUCAACAAUUCCAGCACUCACAGCCUUGGCGAGGGCAGCCUCAACAUCAUCAAUCUCCAAGCAGAGGACGCAUCCGAUUCCCAUAUUCUUAGCUGCAGCAGAAUCAUCGGAAAAGUCAGAGACAAGAAAAAUGGAGCCAGCAAUCUCGAGUUGAGCUCUUGUUCAGCCUUUCGUUUGGUUUCCAUGUUGCAGUUGAUCUCCACAGCACCAAACGCUGUCUUGUAGAACUGAACAGCGUCAGCAACCUUCGAUGCUUCCACAAGCAACUGCGGCUUCAUCCCAUGAAGUUGGCCAAGGUAGCAGGAGCAGUCAUCUUCACGGUGCAGUUCAGAACAUCAGCCAUUGAGAGAGUUUUGGUGUCUAGACAAAGGGAAAGAACCUGAACUUAGGAGAGAGAAAAUCAAAGAGAGAGAAGAAAGAUGAAACCAAAGAGACGAAAUAAAAGAAAAUGAACUUCACCCAUUUUGAUACAGUGUUAAAGGCAAUAAAACGAUAACUCUUUGAUAACAAUACAAAAUAUCAAUAAUGCCCUCAAUUAGUCAAACGGCAACCAAACGGAACUAAAAUGUAACGGAUCUUUUACAACUAAAACGAUUUUGGCCAUCUACUUAUAACAGCCUCAAAUUUCAAGAAAUAGGGAUGGCAAUGGGGCAGAUAUGGGUUGGAUCUACUCUGCUCCAGAUCCAAAUCCAUAAUAAAAAUCAAGAUCCGUAUCUGCUCCAGAUCCGUUAUGAAUCCAUAUUUUUCGCUCCAUAUCCAAAUCCAAAAAAGAAAUAAAUAUCUAUAUCUGCUCCAAAUCCGAAAAAAAAUUAAAAUCCAAAUAUGCUCUAGAUCCGUCAUGAAUUCUAAAAUUCCGUAAUAAAAAAGUAAUAAUUUUUUAGAUUGAAAAUUGAAGGCUAAAAUGUAUUGAUAACAAAUAAAUUAUAUAAUUUUUCUCAAAAAUAUAAUAAAUAUUGUAGCUUAUACUUCUAUACCAAAACAACAAACAAGAAUGAUAAUAAAAUAUCAUUCAGAAGUAAUUGCAGGAGUAAGAUCAAUCUAAUAUUCUAUUGUCUCCUUCAUCAUUCUAGUAUCCACGAUACACCUACCCUCAUUUCUACAACAUUAGAUAAUGACAUAUAAAUUAAAUAUGAUUUAUAUUCAGUCCUUUAUUAUUUUUAUUAUGACCAUAUUUGACUAAAUAUAUGAAUAACUAUAUUCCUUAAAAAUUAUUUGGCCAAUAAGAUAAAAUAAAUUACCAGGUUAUAUUACUUGGAUUGCAAUUUGAAUAUUGCAUGUACAUGCUUUGAGGCUGGUUGAUCUUUAAAUUUACAAAACUAACCUUUAAGUUUUAAGAGUUUAAAUUCAUGAUAAAUACUACUAAUAUGCUAUGAAUAAAAUUUAUUAUCAUUAUCAUUCCACAAUUAUUAAGAAACUUUUAAAAUAAAAUAAAAUUAAAAGAUGAGUGGAUAUGGAUAUGGAUUUAGAUAUUAAGAUAGAUCUAUAUCUGCUCCAGAUCCGUCUUAGAUCCGCACAUCGAUAUCCAAAUCCGAUCCAAAUCCAUUUUAAACCGAUCCAAAUCCGAUCCGAUUGGAUUUGGAUCACAUGAAUCUUGGAUCAAAUCCAAUCCAUUGCCAUCCCUAUCCAGAAAGAUUUUUAAAAAUUACCCGUUGAGAUAACGUUCAUUAAUGGUAUUAGAUUCGGAGCAGACUGCAGACUCAGAAUUUUUUUUUUAGAUAACGUUCAUUAAUGGUAUUAGAUUCGGAGCAGACUGCAGACUCAAUAACUUUUUUUAAAAAAAAAAAAAUUCUGGAGAUUAACAACUUUAUUAAUUAUUCUUCGUACAUAAAUUUUUAGCCUGGAUUAGAUUUAUUUCAAUGGAAUCAGCUUUUCAUUGAAGAAAAUAAAGAUUGACGCGGGGGCGGAGGCCAACCAAUUUUUGGCAUCAGGUUCAACAACUUUAUUCUUUAUGCAGAAACUUUUAGCCGUCUGAUUAAUUUUAUCAUACAUUGAUAUUCGGUCGUUGGAUUAGAUCUAUUUCAAUUACGUGAGACAUAAUUAGCUUUUAAUUAAAGAGAAUAGAGAGUGACGCCGGGACCACCAAUUUUCUUUCCUGACUUUUGUCUAAAAAUUAUUGUGAAGUGCUUAUCUUAACCGUUGACCUGAAUCUAAUCAGAGGGCUAAAAAUUUGUGACUAGGUAAACAAACAGGCACCCAAAGUUCCAUUUAAGAUCAAUCGGAAAGAAAGUGAGCGAGCAUAAUCACAGAGAGAAAAACCUUGUUGAUUUUCCUUAAUACCUUUUCUUCUAAACCCCCCCCCCCCCCCCCGCCCCGGGGGAAAAAAACAAUAACAACCAAAAAAUAAAAAAUAAAAUAAAAGACACGCACAAACACAUUUUUUUUUUUCUAUAGAUUUCAGUUUUCUGUAGAUUUAUCCUGCCAACAUUUUUUCAUAGUCAUUUUCUGUCAAUUCUUGUCGUCCUUCCCAAAAAAAAAAAAUGUCGAUCGUUGGAGAAACCAUUCUAACUGUCACCAUUGAGAUGUUGGUGAAAAGUUGAUAUCAGAUGUGAUUCAGCUGUUCGCACGCCAAGAACAGAUCCAAGCCGCUCUUAAGGAUUGGAAGAAGAAACUGGGGAUGAUCAGGGCGGUGCUCGACGACGCCGUUGAGCAGCAGACAACGAAGCAGUCAGUGAAGACGUGGCUGGGCGGACUUGAGAGCUUAGCUUAUGACGUGGAAGACAUAUUGGACGAGUUUGCAGCUGAGGCUUUGCGGAGGAAGUUGGUUUUCGAACCCGACGAUCUCGUUCAACCUCGUGCAGGUUACUUGCGGAAACUCAUUCCUACCUGCUGCACUAAAUUCAGUCCGCAAAAUGUGAGGUUCGAUUCCAAGAUGGCGGCGAGGAUAGAGGAGAUUACUGGCAGAUUCCAGGACAUCGUAGCGCAGAAAGACCUGCUGGAUUUGAAAGAAAAUUCAGGAGGAAAGUCCAACAAAUUAAGCAGUCGUCCAGAGACCACCAGUUUGGUGAUUGAAGCCGAAGUACAGGGCAGAGAAGAAGAGAAGAAAGCAAUAGUGGAGCUGUUAUUGAAAGAUGAUUUAAGUUCUGCUGGUAGAUUCUCCGUUAUUCCUAUUGUAGGCAUGGGAGGGCUGGGGAAGACAGCUCUUGCCCAACUUGUCUACAAUGACCCAACGGUGGAAAGCCAUUUUGACUUCCAAGCUUGGGUAUGUGUCUCAGAAGAUUUCGAUGCUGUCAGAGUGACAAGAGCCAUUCUCAACUCUCUGCAAAUUUGAAAUUGGAUGUAAAAAAGUGGUGUGGAGAAGAAGAAGUGCAAUGGUUCUCAGCCCACAGAAUUCACAGGUUACAAAUGAUAUGUCAAAUCGAGUGUUCCUAAGAGGGAUACUCCAGGAAGAGUUACCAAAUUUAGAAGAAGUGUCAAUUAAAAACAACGAAGAGCUAACAUGCUUAUGGCGGGCAGGACAUGGAUUACUGCAAGACAUUGGUUCCCUUCACCAAUUGAAGAUUGCGAGUUGUCCCCAACUUGUUUCCUUGGUGGAGGAGGAAGAAAAAGGCCAACAACAGCAAGGGUUGCCAUGCAGACUUCAGGUUCUGGAAUUAAGGAGCUGCCCAAGACUGGUGAAGCUACCACAAGCAUUUCUCAGCUUUAGUUCACUUCGGGACUUGAAGAUCUCAGACUGUGAUUCAAUGGAAGCUUUACCGGAUGCGCUGAUGCACAAAGGUAAAGCACCGCUUGAAAAGUUAAUCAUUUCUGGUUGUCAUACUCUGUAAUACAUCGCCAGGGCCCAGCUACCUCCUAGUCUUAAGAAGCUGAGGGUCUACUAUUGCAACAGUCUUAGGACGUUGGUAGAUGAAGAUCAAAUUUUAGACAUCAAUAGUUGCGGUGGGUACACCUCUGUUCUUGAGCAGUUACAGAUUAUUCAUUGUCCAUCUCUGACAUCCUUAUGGUCAAAAAGCGAGCUACCCGCCACGCUUGAAAAUAUUUAUGUUGAUCGUUGCUCGAAGCUUGCUUUCUUGUCAUUGAGAGGCAAUCUAUCGAAGGCUCUUAAGCACCUUUAUAUUGUUAGUUGCUCAAACCUGGAGUCAAUAGCAGAAGGGUUGGACGACAACACAUCUCUUGAAACUAUGGAAAUUUUUAUUUGUCAAAAUCUGAAAGUUUUACCCCAUAACUUGCACAAGGCCCGCCAUCUUCGACUAUUGAGGAUAAAUGAAUGUCCAAAUCUUGUUUCCUUUCCAGAAGGAGGGCUGGCGCCUUUUAGUAAACUGACUACGCUUGAGAUAUUUAAUUGUGAGAAACUGAAGGCCCUCCCCAACGGCCUCCGCAAUCUCACAUCUCUUCAAUACUUAUUAAUACAAGAUUGUCCAAGCAUAGGAUCUUUCACUGCGAAUUGCUUUCCCACCAACCUUACUUCAGUUCGUAUUGACUAUGAGAAGAUUUAUAAGCCAUUGAUAUUGGAGCGUGGCCUGGGAUUGCACAGAUUCACCUCUCUUAGACAACUCACGCUAUUUGGAGGAGAAUGUUGCAGCUUGGUAUCAUUUCCACUGGAGAAAGAUACAGGAAAGGCACUUCCUGCCUCUCUAAAGCAUCUGUCUAUUUGGAAUUUUCCUAAUUUGGAACGCAUAUCCUCAAUUGAAAACCUCACUUCAUUUGAAUCUCUUCAGCUCUGUUGUUGUCCAAAGCUCCAGGAGUUUCCAGACAAUGGCCUGCCUAUCUCACUUUUGAGACUAGAAAUCUAUGGAUGUCCGUUGAUUGAAGAAAGGUUCGAGAAGGAUAAAGGACAAUAUUGGUCCUUGAUAGCCGAUAUACCUUGUGUCCGGAUAGAUUGCCAUUAUGUGUGAUAGAUCCCAAAGCACAGAGACAACUGUAUCCUGUUUAAAUUCACAAAAUCCAAUCCCAGGUAUGUGUAGUUAGGGAUGGCAAAAAUUCUCACGGGACGGGUAGUCUCGGGGAUUUUUCCCAUUCGGGGAGGGUAUGAGGAUAAUUUCAUACCCAAUUUUUUAUUCGGGGAAGGGACAAGGAAAUUUAAUUUCUUAUUCGGGGAGAGGACGGGGAUGAGGUGGAAUCCCCAUCCCCUACCCAUUUCCCCAUUUUAAUUUUUAAUUUAAUUUUUAUUUUUUAAAAUUACUAGUAAAUAAAUAAUAAAAUUUGAAUUAUAAAAUUAUUAAAAUUGGUAAAAAUAACAAAUAGCAAAAUAUUUAUAUUAUUAAACUUUUAGGCCUAAUUAACUAAUUAAAGUCCUAAAUUUUUAUUUAGGACAUUAAAAAGACCAGAUAGAUUCUAUUAGCCCAAAAAUUUUGUUUUAAUUUUAAAAUUCAUUAAAUAUUUUAAACUUAAAUCUAUUUUUUUAUUUAUUUUUAGAUGUUAUAAUUGUCCACAGCGAAUCACAAUUUUAAUAUCUAAUCUAAUAUUUUCUCUUGAUUUGCUCCGACUUAACUAUUGUGUUGUAAAGGAAAUAGUCCACAUUUAUAAAGUGCCCACGCCACCAUUGAAAAAGUUAAUUUUGAAUCUAAAUUUGAUUUUAUUUGUAACAAUUUUGUAUUACACUGUUAAUUUGUUCAUGAUAGUUUGUAAAAGAAGUUUGUAUCCAUUGCAUGCUGCGUUACUUACUAAUUUAAUGUAUGUGACUUUUGUAAUGAAUAUUAAUGUAAGAUAUAUUUCGAACUUUACUUUUAUUUGAAUUUUUUUAUUUUAAUAUGAUUAACUUAAAAUCGAAAACAAAAAAAUGUAUUAGUUAUUCGGGGAUCGGGGACCUUCGGAGAUCCCCUGUUAUUAUUCAGGGAGGGGAUGGAGAUUCUCUCAAAUAAUUCUGACGGGACGAGGAGGGGACGAGGACAUACGCAAAAUAUCGGGGAUGGGUACGGGGAGAUUGAUCCCCUCCCCUCCCCUCCCCAUUGCCAUCCCUAUGUGUAGUUAAUAAAUAUCCAACCAAUUACAAUUAUGUUUUAAUUAUAUUUCUUUCUUUUUAAAAAAUUAAAUCUCAUGGAUUCUUCUUUUUCUUGAUGUUCUGAUCAAGAUCCAAACAGCUGAUUACACAAUUCCCCACCUGCUCGUUUCUUUCUAUAUCAGCUUAUCAAGGCAAUUUUUUAUUUUUCUCUUUUCAUGGUGAGAAAUACUUUUAUUUAUUAUUCUUAUUUUGUUUCUUUUCUUGACAAUUGACAAAGCUGAGCUACAUCUAAGUCAUUUUCCUUUAUGAUGCUGACCACUGAUGGUUGAUGUUAAGGAAGCUCACAUUUGCAAGAUUAUCAGCAAAGCAGAGGAUCACAGCAACAAUCAUAUGCAGUUACGAGUUGAUGACAUGGCAUGCCAGCUGGAGCCUGGUGGCUAUGUAAUCAGUUAUGCAUGUAUCAAUUAGCUAUAAGCUGUUAUAGUUAGUUGAAAGGAUUAGUUAAUAAUUUGUUGCUAAUUACAACUAUUUGUGCUGAGCUUCAGCUUAGUAUAAAUAACAACAGCUUUGUACAUAUCAUUAAUAAUGUGAUUAAUGAAAUUUAGUUUCUAGAAAACACUCAGAUCUAGUUCAUAUUUUCUUAGUUGCCAAACACGUUUUUCUCGUUCUUCAACUUGGUAUCAGAGCUAGUAACAAUGGCUUCAGUCCAUCUAGCUUCUUCUUCUUCUUCUCAAGCGCCAAUUAAUCAAACAACUGUUAAUUCAACAAAUAUGACAUUCACUUUCAAUACACCUAUCAAGUUAGAUCAAUCCAAUUAUUUGAUUUGGAGAUCUCAAGUUCUUGCUUCAAUUCGCGGCAACAGACUUGAGAAAUUCAUUGAUAACUCAACCACUCCACCUCCUUCACACAUUGCUCAGAGAAUUGAAGAUGAUCUAAGAUCUGUAGAAAAUCCAGAAUUUGCAACUCGGAGAUCACAAGAUCAGGUGCUGCUUGGCUGGUUACCUUCUUCAAUGAGUGAAGGAAUCAUCAGUCUAGUCUUCAAUCUAGAGACUUCUCGAGAGGUAUGGAAAGCUAUAGAAGUUCAAUUUGGAUCUCAAUCUAAAUUUAGACUUCUGCAUUUACGAUAUAUGAUGAAUUCAACUAGGAAAGAUGAUCUGAAAAUUACUGAUUACUUCAUUAAGAUGAAAAGUAUUGCUGAUAAUAUGGCUGCAGCUGGUAGUGCGUUAAGUGAUGAUGAUUUGAUUUUGCAUGUACUCUCUAGCUUAGGUCCAGAUUAUAACUCUGUUGCUACCUAUAUCACUGGACAAGUAGGAGUAGGAAAAAUGAAUGUAAAUGAAGCUUAUACUAUGCUUCUAACUCAAGAAGCUAGGAUUGAACAACAAACUCAUAUGCUAGCUAAUACUGAUGUGAUACAAAACUUUGAGGCUAAUCUUGCCUAUAACAAAGGUUAUAAAAUGGGAAAUAUGUCAGGAGGAAGAGGUUUUGGUAGCUUUGGAUAUAAUUCUGGUUAUGGAAACAGUGGAAACAGUAACAGUAAUGGUUACAAAGGAGGUUAUGGAGGCUCUGGAUUUAAUGCUAAUAGUGGAAAUGCUUAUGGAUCUAACAAUCAGUUCAAGGCUUAUCAAGGAGAUAAUCAGAGAGGUGGAGGAGGAGGUAACUAGAACCAGAAUGCUGGAAAUAGAGGAUUUAACAAUAGCAGACCACCUGGAAACACUAAGCCUCAAUGGAAUGUCUCUAAGCCAACCUGUCAAAUCUGUUGUAGAACAGGCCACACUGCAAAUAUUUGCUGGAAACUUGAGGAAUUCAUGGCAUUUGGAGCUUACAGACCACCACCAAACAGAAAUCCAAAAUCUGCAUAUUUGGCUAAUAUGGAAGGCCCCGCUGAUACUAACUGGUAUUUGGAUAGUGGUGCAACACACCAUCUGACUAAUGAUAUCAACAUGCAUGUUUCUGAAGCUUUUACAGGUAUAUCUAAACUUGUUGUUGGCAAUGGUGCUGGAUUGGAUAUAACACUUAUUGGAAGUGCUGCAUUGAAAUCACAUAACUCCAAUAAUGCCUCUUUAACUUUUAAACUAAAUGAUAUCCUUUUAGUGCCACAAAUUACUAAAAACCUUAUCAGCAUCUCUAAACUCACAAAGGAUAAUGAUGUUGUGAUUGAGUUUACUAAUAAUUUCUGUUUUGUGAAGGACAAUGUGAGAAAUUUGAUCAUAUUGCAGGGCAAAGCUGAAAAUGGUCUAUACAAAUUGCUAUUGGUAAUAGGAAUAGUGUACUGCUGAAGAAGAUUGUACUGAAAUUCAGAAGUUUUGGAUGGAGAAGAAGAACUGAAAAUUGAGGAAUAUGGAAAUGAAGUUUCAUAAAAAACAACAUGACUUGCUAUAUAGAUUUUUCCAAAAGAAUGGAGACAUUUAAAACCCUUAUGCAAAGGACUAUACCCCAGAAAAAUACAUUUGGAUGUAUGAGACUGAAAUUUGUGUUGAUUAUAACUUCUAAGGAAGGGAAAGCAUGAACAUCCAAAUGUUCUCAAGAAUUUGUAAUCUGGAGAGAUGUGAAAUAUAGACUCAUAAGGAGAUUUCAUUGACUGAACUGGUGUAGGCAAUCUGUUUAUAAGGUAUGUGGCUGUAUGAAAAGACUCCCACCAGAAUUUAAUGGGUAGGUUUGCUUGUGCAAGUAGAGUAAGACCAAGUUCUGUAAUAUGCCUAUGCUUUCUCUCUACAAUUCCAUUUUGAUUGUGAGUGUAUGGACAUGAAUGUCUGAAGUGUAUGCCCUCUGUGUGAAGGAGGUUAACAAAGGAUCGAAAUUCUCCCCCCCAGUCUGAUUGAAGACAUUUUAUGGGUUUGUCAAGUUGUUUUUCUAUCUGGUUUUUGAAAAUUUUAAAGACUGAUAGUGUUUCACUUUUGGUUUUCAAAGGAAAGAUCCAAGUAAAUCUUAUGAAAUCGUCAACAAAGCUUAUAUAAUAUAUGUAGCCUUGUGAUGAAAUCACAGGGGCUGGUCCCCAUAAAUUAGUAUGCAAUAUUUCCAGGGGAAACUUUGUUUUGAUAUCAGAAGCUGGAAAAUGAAGUUGGUGCAUUUUUCCUAUUUGACAAGCAUCACAGAAAUUAAAGGUUGUAUUCUUAUUGUCAAGAAUGAAAGAUGAACAUGUUUUGAUUACAUGAUUCAAAAUCUUAGAAGAUGGAUGUCCCAAUCUCUGAUGCAAUACAGAAGUACUUAACAAACACUCAGAGUUUUUACAAGUAGCUGCAGUAGGCAGACAGGAGGUUUUAUUUGAAAAAAUAGAAUUGACAACUGAAAACAUUAAAAGAGGAGAAGUUGAUACAACUGACUCAGCAACAAAGUUUUGACUAUAAGCAGAAGAGGCUGUCUUAUUAGGUGAAACCAAUAGCAAUUUGUAUACCUUUGAAGCUGAAACUGCAGGUAAUGAUUCACAUUCUAAUCACCUUGGUCCUAUAUCUUCACCACUCUCUCACAACACCAUCCCAACCCUCACCACCAGCUGUUGUAUCUCAGCAAUCUAUACCUUCUUCACCAACUCAGCUCAAUCUUCCUAUACUUCUACCUGAUACAACACAAAAUACAUUAUUCUCCCAACCUCCUAUAUCUCACUCUCUGAUUCAACCAACCCACUCAUCUCAACCUAAACCAAAUCUCUCCACACAUAAAAUGAUCACUAGAGCAAAGGCUGGCAUAUACAAACCAAAGGCCUACCUAACAGAUCAUAAUAGCCUGGAACCAUCUACAGUUUCAGAAGCAUUAUCUGAUCCCAAAUGGAAAGCAGCAAUGCAGACUGAAUACCCUUAUGCCUAUGUGCCCAUCCUACAAACUAGUUGGGUGCAAAUGGGUGUUCAGAACCAAGUACAACACAGAUGGCUCAGUUUCAAAACAUAAAGCCAGACUGGUAGCCAAGGGAUUUCAUCAAACUGCAGGUAUUAAUUAUUCUGAAACUUUUAGUCCUGUAGUGAAGUCUUCAACAGUAAGAUUGAUUCUUAGUCUAGCUGUCAUGAACUGUUGGAAGGUCAGACAAAUUGAUGUGAAUAAUGUCUUCUUAAAUGAGGAUUUGUCAGAGGAUGUGUAUAUGGUUUAGCCUGAGGGUUUUGUGUCCAAAGAAGGCUACAUAUGCAAGCUUACCAAGGCUCUAUAUGGAUUGAAACAAGCUCCAAGAGCUUGGUAUGAUAAACUGAAAGGCUGUCUUACUGCCUGGAAUUUCAUCAAUUCAAAGGCUGACACAUCUCUUUUUGUUAAACAUGAUGAUAAGGGCAUUAUUAUUAUCUUGGUCUAUGUUGAUGAUAUUCUGGUUACUGGUCCUGACUCAGCAUUACUUGAAGAAUUUAUCACUAAACUAAGUAAGGCUUUUGCUCUCAAGGAUCUGGGUUUGAUAGCUUAUUUUCUUGGAGUGGAAGUAUGUUACACAACUCAUGGAAUGCAUCUGUCACAGACAAAGUAUAUUAAAGAUCUGAUCAGCAAAGCUUCAAUGCAGAAUUGCAAAGGGUCAGAUACACCCUUCAGUACUGGAUUUAAACUAGAGAAAAAUGUUCAAGGUCCUCUGGGACAAGAAUUUGAAGAACCAGCACUUUAUAGGAGCAUUGUUGGAGGGCUUCAAUAUUUGAUUCUCACCAGGUCUGACAUUGCUUAUUCUGUACACAAACUCAGCCAAUAUCUCAAUACUCCUACACUUCAGCACUGGCUGGCAUGCAAGAAGGUUCUCAGAUAUCUUCAAGCCAUAACUACUCAUGGUUUAUACAUUCAAAAGGAAGGGACACUUGGACUUGCAGGUCUAACAGGAUACUCUGAUGCUGACUAGGCAUGUGAUGUUGAUGAUCGAAAGUCUAUUGGAGCUUACUGUAUUUACCUUGGUAAUAAUCUGAUCUCCUGGUCUUCAAAGAAGCAAGCUAUAGUAGCUAAGUCAAGCACUGAAAGUGAAUACAGGGCACUAUCUUCAGCAAGUUCAGAGCUUUCAUGGUUGCAAUCUCUGUUGUCAGAACUUAACAUUGUUCAGUUACCUACUCCAAUUCUUUGGUGUGACAAUCAAAGUGCUGGAGAGUUAGCUCGAAAUCCUAUUCUUCAUUCUAAAUCCAAACACAUUGAAUUGGAAAUUCAUUACAUUAGAGAUAAAGUGCUUGGAAAAGAAUUAGAAAUAAGAUAUAUUCCUACAGAAGAACAAGUUGCUGAUGUCCUUACUAAAGCUUUGUCAUUUCCCAAGUUUAACUAUUUUAGAUCCAAGCUCAAUGUCAUCAACAGGCCAUUGAGCUUGAGGGGGGAUGUUAAAGAAGCUCACAUUUACAAGAUUAUCAGCAAAGCAGAGGAUCACAGCAACAACCAUAUGCAGUUACGAGUUGAUGACAUGGCAUGCCAGCUGGAGCCUGGUGGUUAUGUAAUAAGUUAUGCAUGUAUCAAUUAGCUAUAAGCUGUUAUAGUUAGUUGAAAGGAUUAGUUAAUAAGUUGUUGCUAAUUACAACAGCUUUGUACAUAUCAUUAAUGAUGUGAUUAAUGAAAUUUAGUUUCUAGAAAACACUCAGAUCUAGUUCAUAUUUUCUUAGUUGCCAAACACGUUUUUCUCGUUCUUCAACUGUUGGAAGUCAACUAUUGUAUAGUAAGAUGAUUUGAAACUUCUUUUAAAACUUCUCUGUCAUCUAGCUUAGAGAACUUGACUGUCCACCAAGAGUCUGGAGUCACCUGUUGCAUCUCAAGUUGAUUUGGUAUUUGUUAUUUUUAAUGAGGAAAUACUUUGCUAGAACUUUCAGAUUGAACAUUGCAGGUAGGAUUAUUAUUCAAGUCGUGACCUUCGAGAACUUGUUGCAGUUGAAUGUUUUUUUUUUUUUUUUGGGGGGGGUGGGGGGGUAAUGACAAAAAUUAUUAAUGUUUAGGAACAACUCUUUAGGGGAGAAGCAUAUAUAUCUGGCUGGCAAUUUUGGCAUAUUCAACUGUUGAUAGUAGAAUGGAUGUAUGGAGGGUUGACUUCAGUGACCACAAUUAAUUAUGUCAUUGUACGGUUAAAUGGUUGCAUUAUGAAAAGCAGAGAUGCGUUAGAAAAUGACAUGGCCUUUGUCAUGCUUAAUCUGUGCCUAUGCAGCUAUUGUAUUAUCUUGGUUAACCUGUGCCUUUUUAAUUCUUGUACUAUGACUGCCUGGUCCUAAGCAAUAUUGAUGGAAAUGACAUCCAGCUUGAAGUUUAUGUAAAUCUUUCAAAAUAAAUUCUGAAUACCCUUGGAUUUGGUGUGUACAAAGUCAAAGAAUCCAUUUAGCUGGUCCUACAAGUUUUAGACUUUGCAGGGAGGCUUCAGAUUUAUAAAUAUGUAACAAAAAAGGUGUAGACUACAUAAAAAGACUUAAAAAAAAAGUGUAUAGAAUUAUUAGCUAUGCUUAGAUAAAUUCCCGGUAAUUACCUUUCUAGUAUUACUUUUUUUCUUGUUGUUUCUUUGAGAUAUUUCAAGAAAUAUACAAUAUAUGCAAACAUAUAACUUCUUGAAAUUUGUAAUUAUAGGAUUCUGUUGACUGGUUGGUUCUAUACCUCUUUGUGGGAAUGGGCGAAACAUCUUGAUACCUUUACCAAGAUCAGUUAGUGCUGAGGUUUUGGCUAUUACUGGAGCUGGCGUGUGACUGCAUGAUCAAGAUGCGUCAAACCUUCCACUGUUCUAUUGGUUUGCCUUUAUCAUUCGGAAUCCAAGUUUGAUAUUAACAGAGAUCACAUCAAUAAUAUCCUAUUUGGGUAGAUGUGGGUGAGGAUUUAAAAUCAAAUUUGAAAUUGAGAGGAAAGAAAAGGAGCCACAAUAAUUAAACAAAAUAAUUCUGAUGAGUUUUAAUCUCGAGGAACAAUUUUCAAAUGCAAAUUUAACUGCUAGAGAAAUUGUAGCUUUUUGUCAUUAGUUAAAAGGAAAAAGAAUAAGAACUAUCCGGCCCUUUCCUUCAUGAAUGUGUUGAGGUUGCUGUAUUAUUUAGUCAGUAUUUGUAAUUUUCUUCCCUGCAGUGCUCUCUGCUUCCUGAAUUUGCUACUGAGUCCAUAUUUUUCUUUGAGCUUUUGCUUCCUAUUGCUGUUACAGGUGCAAAUCUGGGCAAGCAAUAAGAUACACCGGGAGGAAAGGUCAUCAAUGCGAAAAUGGGAUGUCCGAUCCCUCAUCACAUCUUCUUCAGAUUUGUAUGGUCCAGAAAAGUCUGCUAGUGUUGAAAAAUUACCUAGGCAUGUAAAAUUUACUUUUAAGAAUCCUGUUAGGUGCUGCAUUAUUUGGAUCACAUUACAUCUUCAGAGACCUGGUUUGGGUUCAGUUAAUUUCGGGAAGGACUACAGCAUUUGCAGAUGAACCUUCAGAACAAGAUGAUUCAGGAUUGAGAGCUCCACUUGUGGCCACAGGUUUGUCUUUGUCAAACAGAAUCAAGUUAUAUUAUUAUUGUGAUCCUUAUGAGCUCGGAAAAUGGGCAAGCCUUUCUGGAGUUUGAUCGUUAUUUAUAUGUCAGAGAAAGAGUUUUGGGUUUGAUUUUGAUUUGUAAUUUUUGUCAGUUUAUUGAAAUUUUGUUGUUGUAUAAAAGCAGAAUGUAAAGGUAUAAAAAUUCAUUGAUGCUGUAAUGUCUGUACUUUUGAGAAAGAAGAAUUCAAUGUCUUUUCUAUGCCAUUGGAUUUUCCACUGCUGGUAAAACCUGAGCUGUCGAAUGCUCUGUGAACCUUAAGGGCUAGAAAGUAAUUU
rnacentral:lncRNA from 1 species